rnacentral:lncRNA from 1 species
UUUUGAUCAUCCAAUAGUGGGAGCUUCCCACAGUCAUAGUCUGCAAUGCCAAUAAGCCUCUUCAAAACAAACCUAUAAAAUAUCAUAUCUCUGAACAUCUUCAUCAACCAUCCUUCUCUGCCUACCUGCGCCCACCCUGAAAAAUAUGACCCUGCUAUCAACCAAGCAGCGCGCCACCUCCUUUCCUUCACGUAUCCCUCUAUGGCUUCGGCCACCGCUCCUGGCACCAGCCUCCCGUUAUCAAUGAAUGAUUUUCCGAUGUGGCGGCCUAGGACAACUGCGUCCUCCAGGGCUGCACAACCACCCUGGCCUAGGUCAGGGGUCAUUGGGUGCAUGGCAUCACCUACCACUGUCAUGUUCCCUUUGCUUACAUUUCCAAAUAUGAGGUCCCAUGGAAGUCUCAGCCUCAGUGGAGCCAAAGUCAAGGUAGAAAGAUCGCAGUGGCGGACCACUUCAGCGUAUAUUGGAGGGAGGUCCUUGGCAUAAUUCUCAAUCACUUGUUUUUGUAUUUCUUGCGGGUCUUUUGUCAUGGUCUCACCUGACAUCAAAAUGAUAUCAUUUAUGUUUAUAAAGCAAGGACAAUAAUGUGAGUAAUGUCAUGAACAAAAAAUUUCCAGCCAAGCCACAGUGUUACACCGGCUUGGAAUUGCCACUAGUGACCUGAAUUUUACUCAGAGAUAUUGGCAUAAAGUUGUGGCGAUAACAAAACCAACCUUUAGGAGUAUUGAAAGUGAGGAACCAGUAAAUAUCUUUAUCAUUUAGAGGGACGAUGCCAGCCCUUUUGCCCACAUCCAAAAAUUGCAGCACAUGCUCACGCACGCCAUGACCCUCUGGAAACACCGCCAGCGCAACCACAGACGAUCGACCUGAGUUCACCGGCUCGGUCAGUCCCAAUUUACGAGCCACAAACGAGUUCACCCCAUCACACCCUAUCAAAACCUGUAACACCCAAAAAUGAAAAUUCUGGCAUUAAAAUGAAGAAUCUAUAGUAAUCACCAUUAUGUGAUGCAGAUAAGCCAAUGCACAUGGGGCUCAACAUGGGCUGACGUUACAUACCUUGGUUGUAAUCACAGUUCCAUCUUCCAAGCGUAUGGUAUAUGGACCUUCUUGGGCCUGGGCUUCAAUGGAGAUGGGCUUGGAUGAGAAUCGGAUCGAGUGGCGUGGCAGCUCCUCUGCCAGACUCUCGAGUAACGCCUUGCGAUGUACUGUGAUGGGUCCACCUCUGCUUCAGAUUUGACAACCAAUCAGAUCAUUCCAUAUUCAUUUUAAGUCACGGCGAUCAUCCAAUGGGCUCACCCCAGUGGACUCACAAGUCAGAAGUCGGUGGAAGUUAACAUAAACCGGAAGAUACUAUCGAAUAAAUAGAGGUAUUUAAUUUUUCGCAUUCUUACCUAUUGUUUCUAAUGAGGGAGACUUCUUGGACCGCUCCAGUGGCAACAUUUGUUAUGCACAUCCUAGUCACAAACAAAAACAUCAAUUUAUAAUAAUCACAACAAUUCUUAUCAUUUCUAAAUAAAAUCUGUUUUUGUAUGAACAUUUUUCUUGUUGAUAAAAAAAAAAGAAGAAGAAGAAGAAGAAGAAAGGAACAAAUGAUAUAGGAGGAAAAUGAAAGAAUAAAAAUCAUACUUUUCGCGGACGGCAUAGAGGGGAGUGAGUUUAUGGGCGACACCCAGGGCAUCAAGAGCGAGCCAAGCAUUUGGGGCGAGGGUGAGAGCAGCACCAGAGACUCGGAGGCCAUCAGAUCUCUCCAGCACCAAUGCCCUAAUCCCCACCCUUUUGAGCGCGAUCGCGGUGGCCAGCCCAGCUAUUCCUGCCCCCACUAUCACUAUUUCUUCCUCCAGUACCAUCUUCUCCAUAUCUCUCACUUCUCUUUAAUUUUCUAUCUUGCAUAAUCAUACCUCUCAACUUGCUCUAUCCUUAUAUACACACUCGUAGAAGAUUCAAGCUUGAACUGCACGAAGCCGUCAUAUUUGACCAAAUGGUUGGGGAGAGGUUAUUCCACGGUUUGAUGCAAGUGCGUAAAGGACACGUAUGGUCCAAUAUUGCCAAGAGCACUUGUACAAUUUUAACAUGGCCACUUUCCGACCUCAAUUGACAACCGUGGGUCAACAUAGUUUCUUGUUUACAUUUUUAUUUUUUUUUAUUUUUAACAUUAGUCCAACGUGUCGUGAAAGGACUCAAUUUCUUAAAUGGAAUAUAUUUCUUUUAUUCAAUUCCUUAAAUGAAAUAUAUAUAUAUAUAUUUUUAUAUAAAAGGAAUAUUAUUAUAAUUGUUUUCCUUAGUUUAUGUUUGGAUUAUUUACAAUGAGAAAUAUUCAGAAGUUUACAUUAAAUUUCUUUGAUUAUUUGUUUGUCAGGAAGUUCUAAAUAAAAAAAAAUAUUAGGGAAAAUAAAUUUUUAUAUUUGACUCUAUCAUAAAAAAUAUAAACAAAAAAAUAUAAUUAAAAGUAGUAAACAAUUUAUAUAUUUUUAAUUAUUUAAUUUUUAUAUAAAAAAUUAAAAUAAGUGAAAUUUUGAAAUGAUAUAUAAAAAUAAUUUAUUAACUUUAAAUCUCUUUUUUUUUUCUUUAAUCAUAUUUUCUUUCAAAUUUUUAAAAGCCAAAUUAAUAUUAUAAAACAAAGAAAUUUCAUAGAAAUAUUUUAGGGAAAAAGUUAUGAAUGAUGUUAAAAUUUAGUAUACUUUUAGAGCUGGGGCACGCUCCUGGAAACCGGUCUUUUGAGACUUUUAGGUUCUCUGUUUUUUCACCCUUUUUUGACCUUUCCACCCUUCUGGAAAGUGGGCUGGCAGGGUGACACGUAGUAGGGGAGAGCUUUUUGAAUUUUGCUUUUGACAUAUUGAAACUGCAUUUCUUCCUUCUCCUUCCACCCGCACACCCAUCACCGUCGACCCAUUGCCGGCGAAUUUGCCGUCUGCCACUCCGUCGGCCACUUCUUCGGCCAGCGGCACCCCCUUUCUCCCUUCCCUUUUUCCUUCUUUCCCUAUUUCUCUUUUCUCUCUCCAUUCUACCCACCAUACCCAUUUUUCCUUUCGUCCAACUACUGCUGCUACUCACUGCCGGCCAGCGACGUCAUGGCAUCAGUGCGGCUCAUGGCUCGACCUUGUUGCCGAUGCCCACGGUUGCCCCCACCAAGACCCAUACCUCCAGUUUCUAUUUUUUUUUUAAAUAACUUUUUAGAAAAUAAUAAUAAAAGAUGAAGGAUGAGAGAGAGAGGCCAUUUUGAAUAAAAGAUUCAAAAGUGGGCCAAAAUCCACUUUUGUUUGGUUAAAGAAGUUAUUUUUAACCCAAUCUGAAGCUGGUUUUUAAGAGAGCUGUAGGAGUUUGGGUUAAAAAUAAUCUCUUUAACCACCAUCUUUUAAAUCUUUUGUUCAAAAGGUCUCUUUCUCUCCCAGCAUCUUUUAUUAUUAUUAUUUUUAAUUAUUUUUUAAAAAAUUAUUUAAAAAAAAUAAGAAUUGAAGAUGGAGGUGUGAGUCUGGGUGGGGGCAACCGUGGGCAUUAUCAGCAAGGACGGCAUGACAUCGUUGGCUGGUAAUGAGUAACAAUCGGAGUUUGAGGAAAGGAAAAAUGGGUAUGAUGGAUAGGAUGGAGAGAGAGAAGAGAAAUAAGGAAAGAAGAAAACAUACAAAAGGAGAAGGGGUUGAAGUCGACUGAAGAAGGGGGAACAGAGUGGCCGAUAGUAACGUCGCCAACGAUGGAUGGGUCCAUGGUGAUGGGUGUGCGGGUGGAAGAGAAGGAAGAAAUGCAUUUUUAAUUUUAAAAAAUAAAAUAGAAGAAGGCUAAUUUGAACAAUUGUUUCAACACAGACCUAAAGUUGAUUUUUUGUUUCGAUCAAAAGCUACUUUCACCCAAAAUUCCUGUAGGAGGCCUUUCAGAGGGAGACACGUGAGGGGAAAGAAUAUUCUCUAUGGAGAGGUGAGCUGUGAGCCUGUGAGGAGGUUCGAGGGAGCAGGUUUUGACAGCAAGCUGGUUGCUAGAGAGAGGCACACGUUUAGAUAGGAGAUGGCUCCUUCUGUUGGGUUGUGAAUGAGAGGAAAACAAAACGAGAAGAGUAAGAGGAUUUGAGAGAGAAGGAAAACAAACCAAUUUUAAACUAAGUGGUGUAUAUUUUUUUUGAUUUUUUGGUGAAAGCAAUUUAUUUUAAGAAUUUGAGUUGUUUAUUCUUUUACUUUUUCAUAAUUUAUUAUAAAUUUUUUAUUAAAUAAAAAAGUCAAAAUAUAUAACUUUUUUUUAAAUAAAAAAAUAUUAUAUUGAUUUUUCUUUACUUUUUAAUACUUAAUAAAAAUAAAAUACUAUAAAAAUAAACAACCUAAUAUUUAAUAAUAUUAAACAUUAAAGUUCUAUUUAAAAUUAAGUAAAAAAACAAAUACCACUUAAGACUACGAUGAUGUUUAUAUUUUAAUUUAAUAUUAAAUGUAAUUUACCUUUAGAUUUUAAAUGAUUUGUUUUUAAUUUUUUUUACUUAUUACUUAUUUUUAAAAAAAAAUUGAUUGAAUAGAAAAAUCUAAAAUAUUUUAUUUUUUGCUAAAUACUAAAAAAUAACCUUUUUAAAUAACCAAAAUACAAUCAUGAUCUAUUAAUACUUAACAAAAAUAAAUAAUAAAAAAACAACUUAAUACUUAAUAAUGUUAAGUUGUAUUUAAAGUUAAAUUAAAUUUUAUUUAGAUUUAAGUAAAAAAAAAACAAACAAAUACCACCUAAAUUUGUCCAUUUGCACAGGACUUAAAAUAAAGAUACAAUUUUUCUUUCAUUUAUUAUGCUUGUUAAAUCACCUUAUAUAGUCAUGGUAAAAAUGGUUGAGGAGGUAGAAAAUUUUCAAUUUGAUGGGAAGAUGUUUUACACGAGGUAGAAAAUUUUCAAUUUGAUGGGAAGAUGUUUUACCCUAUAUACGUUUACAAUUCUAUAAUAAUAAUAAAUAAAUAAAUAGAAGAAAGAAGAAAAAAAAAGAAUAAUUUGAUAUUUAUAUAAAGUAUGUCUUCACUAUGUUUUGAGACAAGCUUGGUGUUUUUUUUUUUUUUUUUUUAACGUAAUUUUAAAUAGAAUUUAAUACUAAAUAAUAUUUAAUAGUGUUAAGUACUACUAAGCUGUUUUUUUUAAAUAUUUUAUUUUAUUAAGAAUUAAUAGUUAAAAAAAAUCUAAUAGAUUCAUUUUAGUUAUGGUGAUUUACUUUUAGUAUUAAGAAAAAGUUAGAUAUUUUAAUUUUUUCUAUUUCAUCAAAAAAUUUAAGAAAUGAGUAAUAAGUUAACAAAAAAGAAGAAAAAAAAACAAUCUGAAUUUUGAAAGUAAAUUGAUUUUAGCAAUAAGUUAAAAAAACAAAGAACAUCAAAGUGAUAUUUAUUUAUUUAUUUUUACUUAAUUCUAAAUAGAAUUUAAAACCAAAUAAUACUUAAUAGUAUUAAUUAUUAAGUCAAUUAUUUUUUUAAUAUUUUAUUUCUAUUAAGUAUUAUGAAGGAAAGAAAAACUAGUAGUUUGCUUUUAACAUUGAGAAAAAUAAAAUAUUUUGAUUUUUUCUAUUCAAUAAAACAAAAUUUUAAAAAUAAGUAAUAAAUUAAAAAAAAAAAAUCAAAACAAAUUACUUUCAACAAAAAAAAUUAAAAAGACAAAAAAUACCUUGUGCAUAUUUAUCCCCACUUGAACCUUGAGGGUAAAAAAGGACAAAAGACACAUAUAGAAUUACAAAGAAGGAGAUGCGUAAAAUUGUUAUGGUAAGAAUCAAAUUCAAUCAUUAUAAAAGAGCAAUCAAGUAUUAAUAAUAUUUGAUUUUUUUAAUUUAAAAAAUAAUAUUUAUUUUUCUUAAUUUUUAAGAUAUUUAUUAUUCAUUUCUUUGUAUAAUUGAUAAAUCUAUAAAUUUAUGAAAAAUAAUAAUAAAAAAAAACCUCUUUCAUUGCCAAAUUAUCAAACUUUUCAAAUUUAAUAUAAUUUAAUCUAAUCUGAUUCAACAUAUUUAUUAAUAAGAUAUUAUAGUUUAACUUGGACAUUAAAAGAGAGCAUAUUUUGAAUCUUCCUAAAGCAGCGGUGCCAUUUUUUGGAAACUUUGGUUUGAUUUUUCUUAUUAGAUGUGAUUUUGUCGGGUUCUUGUAAGUUUCGUGGCAUGAGUUUCUCUCUCUCAUGCAUUAUACCUGAAAACGACAUCUCAAUUCUUCAAUUCGAAACAAACCAAAGCAUGAUUUAUUUCAAAAUUCAGAUGGGAAAAGAAAAGUUCAAUAGGUGGAAAGAGAAGUGAGGGGUCCCACCAUAGCCACCCCCACCAAAGGGGAACACCUGAUUCCCCAGAGUCAGAUAAUUACAUCUUCACUGCAAGACGGCCAAGACCCCCACCAAGUCCUAAAUGCUUGCCUGCUUGAGAUAUUCCAUUCUGGCAUAUAUAUAUAUAUAUAUAACUGUCAACGUACCCAUUUAGCAAAGAACUGGUAAAAUAGAACAAAAUUCAUAUCAGAAGGGCUAAAACAAAGACCAAAAAAAAAAAAAAAAAAUGACAGAAAGAAAAUAAAUCAAAUGAAGCUAUUGAAUCUUAUUUUGGUCAUCCAGUAGAGGGAGCUUCCCACAGUCAUAAUCUGCAAUGCCAAUAAGCCUCUUGAAAAGAAACCUAUAGAAUAUCACAUCUCUGAACAUCUUCAUCAACCAUCCUUCCCCACGUAACUGCGCCCACCCUGAUAUAUAUGACCCCGUUAUCAACCAAGCGGUGCGCCACCUCCUUUCCUUCACGUACUCCUCUAUGGCUCUGGCCACCGCUCCCGGCACCAGCCUCCUGUUAUCAAUGAAUGAUUUUCCGAUGUGGCGGCCUAGGACAACUGCGUCCUCCAGGGCUGAACAGCCACCCUGGCCUAGGUCAGGGGUCAUUGGGUGCAUGGCAUCACCUGCCACUGUCAUGUUCCCUUUGCUUACAUUUCCAAAUAUGAGGUCCCAUGGAAGUCUCAGCCUCAGUGGAGCCAAAUUCAAGGUAGAAAGAUCGCAGUGGCGGACCACUUCAGCGUAUAUUGGAGGGAAAUCCUUGGCAUAAUUCUCAAUCACUUGUUUUUGUAUUUGUUCUGGGUCUCCUGUCAUGGCCUCACCUGACAUCAAAAUGAUAUCACUUAUGUUUACAAGGCGUAGACAAUAAUGAGUAAUAUCAUGGACAAAACAUUUACCAGCCAAGCCAAAGUGUUACACCGGCUUGGAAUUGCCACUAUAUCUCUUAGGACUCUGGUGAGCUGAAUUUUACUCGGAAAUAUUGUCAUAAAGUGGUUGGCAAAGACAAACCAACCUUUAGGAGUAUUGAAAGUGAGGAACCAGUAAAUCUCUUUAUCAUUAAGAGGGACGAUGCCACCCCUUUUGCCCACAUCCACAAAUUGCUGCACAUCCUCACGCACCCCAUGACCCUCUGGAAACACCGCCAGCGCAACCAAUGCCGAUCGACCCGAGUUCACCGGCUGGGUCAGUCCCAAUUUACGAGCCACAAACGAGUUCACCCCAUCACACCCUAUCAAAACCUGUAACCCCCAAAAAUGAAAAUUCUGGCAUAAAAAUGAAGAAUCUAUAGUAAUCACCAUUAUGGGAUAUGAGGAUGAGCCAAUGAAUAUAGGGCUCAACCUGGGCUGAUGUUAGAUACCUUGGUUGUAAUCACAGUUCCAUCUUCCAAGCGUAUAGCAUAUGGACCUUCUUGGCCCUGGGCUUCAAUGGAGAUGGGCUUGGAUGAGAAUCGGAUUGAGUUUCUUGGCAGCUCCUCUGCUAGACUCUCCAAUAACGCCUUGCGAUGUACUGUGAUGGGUCCAUCGCUGCUCCAGAUUCGACAAUCAAUCAGAUCAUUACAUAUUCAUUUCGGUCAUUUUGAAAAGUGACCACAGAGAAAGGGUGAUCAUCCAAUCCGCCCACCCAAUUGAAAAUAUAUAUUUAAGAAUCCCACUUUCCACUAUCCAAUAAACAGAGGUAUUUGAUUUUGAGCAGUCUUACCUAUUGUUUCCCAUGAGGGAAACCUCUUGGACAGCUCCAGUGGCAACAUCUGUUACGUACGCCCUACUCACAAACAAAACAUCAAUUAAUAAUAAGCACAGUAAUUUCUUAUUAAUAAUAUUUUUAAUAUUUUCAUAUGGCUUCCAUGCUAGUUUUUUUUUUUUUCAAAAAUUAAUUAAUAAAUUAUAUUUCCUUGAAGUGACUGCAUCAGAAUUUCAUGAGGAAACCAUGGCAGGACAAAAUCCAGAAUCUACACCUACUCACAAUUCACAAGUCGUUGUUAAUGGUAGAAUUCAGUAUCAAAGAAAAAAAAACUUAAAAGCAAAACAUAAACUCCUGCUGGAAUUAUUUUCUUAUUCACAUAAAAUAAUUGCUAUGUCUGGAAUUUGUAUACUGAAAUAGGAGAAAAAUGAAAGAAUAGAAAUCAUACUUUUUGCGGACGGCAUAGACGGCAGUGAGUUUAUGAGCGACGCCCAGGGCAUCAAGAGCGCGCCAAGCAUUUGGGAAGAGGCCGAGAGCAGCACCAGUGGCUCGGAGGCCAUCAGAUCUCUCCAAAACCAACGCUCUAAUCCCAACUCUUUGUAGCGCCACCGCGGUGGCCAGCCCAGCGAUUCCUCCCCCCACUAUCACUAUUUCUUCCUCCGGUACCAUCUUUUCCAUCUCUCUCUCACUUCUCUUUAAUUUUCCAUCCCGCAUAAUCAUACCUCGCAACAUGUUCUGUCCUUANNNNNNNNNNNNNNNNNNNNNNNNNNNNNNNNNNNNNNNNNNNNNNNNNNNNNNNNNNNNNNNNNNNNNNNNNNNNNNNNNNNNNNNNNNNNNNNNNNNNGAGGAGAGAGGAGAGAGGAGAGAGGGUGAGAGAGAGGAGAUAGGAGAGAGGAGAGAGGAGAGAGGGUGACUGUAAAAAAAAAGCAAACUCGUCUUUUGAAGAGACGAGUUCCAUGAAAGAAGAGAGGAAAGAGGAGAGAGGAGAGAGGAGAGAGGGUGACUGUAAAAAAAAAGCAAACUCGUCUUUUGAAGAGACGAGUUCCAUGAAAGAAGAGAGGAAAGAGGAGAGAGGAGAGAGGAGAGAGGGUGAGAGAGAGGAGACAGGAGAGAGGAGAGAGGAGAGAGAGUGUGUAAAAAAAAGCAAACUCGUCUGUUGAAGAGACGAGUUCCAUGAAAAAAAAUAUAUAUAUAAUUUAAAAAAAAUUCUAAACAAUUAUUCAAGGGAACUCGUCUNNNNNNNNNNNNNNNNNNNNNNNNNNNNNNNNNNNNNNNNNNNNNNNNNNNNNNNNNNNNNNNNNNNNNNNNNNNNNNNNNNNNNNNNNNNNNNNNNNNNGAGAGGGUGAGAGUGAGGAGACAGGAGAGAGGAGAGAGGAGAGAGAGUGUGUAAAAAAAAGCAAACUCGUCUGUUGAAGAGACGAGUUCCAUGAAAAAAAAUAUAUAUAUAAUUUAAAAAAAAUUCUAAACAAUUAUUCAAGGGAACUCGUCUCUUGAAGAGACGAGUUCCAUGUAAAAAAAUCCCAAAUUUAAAAGAAAAAAAAAAUUUCCAAAAAGGGAACUCGUCUCUUCAAGAGACGAGUUCCAUGUAAAAAAAAAAAUAUUUUUUUUUUUAAAAAAUCCCAAAUUUAAAAAAAAAAAAAAAAUUCCAAAGGGAACUCGUCUCUUGAAGAGACGAGUUCCAUGUAAAAAAAAAAUAUUUUUUAAAAAAUAUAAUUUUUAUUUUAAAAAAUCCCAAAUUAAAAAAAAAAAAAAAUCCAAAGGGAACUCGUCUCUUCAAGAGACAAGUUCCAUGUAAAAAAAAAUAUAUUUUUAAAAAAAUAUAUAUAUUAAAAAAAAAUCCCAAAUUAAAAAAAAAAAAAAACACACAAUUCCAAAGUGAAGAGACGAGUUCCAUGUAAAAAAAAAUAUAUUUUUUAAAAAAUAUAUUUUUUAUUUUAAAAAAUCCCAAAUUUAAAAAAAACAAAAAUAAAUUCCAAAGGGAACUCGUCUCUUGAAGAGACGAGUUCCAUGUAAAAAAAAAAAUAUUUUUUUAAAAAUAUAUAUAUUAAAAAAAAAAUCCCAAAUUAAAAAAAAAAAAAAAACACAAUUCCAAAGGGAACUCGUCUCUUCAAGAGACGAGUUCCAUGUAAAAAAAAAUAUAUUUUUUAAAAAAUAUAUUUUUUAUUUUAAAAAAUCCCGAAUUAAAAAAAAAAAAAAAAUUCCAAAGGGAACUCGUCUCUUCAAGAGACGAGUUCCAUGUAAAAAAAAAAUUAUUUUUUUAAAAAUAUAUAUAUAUUAAAAAAAAAUCCCAAAUUAAAAAAAAAAAAANNNNNNNNNNNNNNNNNNNNNNNNNNNNNNNNNNNNNNNNNNNNNNNNNNNNNNNNNNNNNNNNNNNNNNNNNNNNNNNNNNNNNNNNNNNNNNNNNNNNGGGGUUUUUUUUUUUUUUUUUUUUUUAACUUGGGAUUUUUUUUUUAAUAUAUUUAUUUUUAAAAAAAAAUAUUUUUUUUUACAAGGAACUCGUCUCUUCAAGAGACGAGUUUCCUUUGGGAUUUUUUUUUUUUUUUAAAUUAAAAAAUUUUUAAAUUAAAAAAUAUAUUUUUUUUUACAUGGAACUCGUCUCUUCAAAGUUCCCUUUGGAAUUGUGUGUGUGUUUUUUUUUUUUUUUUUUUUUAAUUUGGGAUUUUUUUUUUAAUAUAUAUAUUUUUAAAAAAAUAUAUUUUUUUUUACAUGGAACUCGUCUCUUCAAGAGACGAGUUCCCUUUGGAUUUUUUUUUUUUUUUUAAUUUGGGAUUUUUUAAAAUAAAAAAUAUAUUUUUUAAAAAAAAUAUUUUUUUUUACAUGGAACUCGUCUCUUCAAGAGACGAGUUCCCUUUGGAAUUUAUUUUUUUUUUUUUUAAUUUGGGAUUUUUUAAAAUAAAAAAUAUAUUUUUUAAAAAAUAUUUUUUUUUUUACAUGGAACUCGUCUCUUCAAGAGACGAGUUCCCUUUGGAAUUUUUUUUUUUUUUUUUAAAAAAAAAUUUGGGAUUUUUUAAAAUAAAAAAUAUAUUUUUUUUUACAUGGAACUCGUCUCUUCAAGAGACGAGUUCCCUUUUUGGAAAUUUUUUUUUUUUUUUAAAUUUGGGAUUUUUUAAAUUAAAAAAUAUAUUUUUUUAAAAAUAUAUAUUUUUUUACAUGGAACUCGUCUCUUCAAGAGACGAGUUCCCUUGAAUAAUUGUUUAGAAUUUUUUUAAAAUUAUAUAUAUAUUUUUUUUCAUGGAACUCGUCUCUUCAAGAGACGAGUUUGCUUUUUUUUUACAGUCACCCUCUCUCCUCUCUCCUUUCUCCACUUUCCUCUCUUCUCUCACCCUCUCUCCUCUCUCCUAUUUCCUCUCUCUUCUCUCCUAUGUGGCAAAAACUACCCUAUAUUUGUAAUAACUUCUGCCAGUACAGUAAUUUAAGCAUAACUUUUUUAAAUUGCUGUACUAUUGAGAAAAGUCCCUUAUACAUACCCGCACAUAAGCUUGGGCUGCACCUUUUUCAUUUUCAAUAUGUUUAAUAUUUAAAUACGAUUUUUACCAUUUUCUUUUCAUAUUUAAAUAAUGUAUAUAUUUUCAUUAUUUUGUUUAAUAAAUUAAAAUAUUAAUAUAUUUAUAUAAAAAUGAAUAAAUAAUAUUACAAAUAUGAUUAAUUUUUAAUUAUAUGUAUUUAAAAUUAUUUUUAAUUUUAAUAAAAUAUAAAUUAUAUAUUUAUAAUGUCAUUGGUUCGAUCGCGGUUUGACCAUCAAUCCGAUUAGUGAACCGUGAACCUAUAAUUUUUUCGGUUUAAUGUCCGAUUAGAUUCGAUUCUGAAAACAUUGAUCCAUUCUAUUCAAUUCAAGUUCAACUUAAUCUUAUUUUUCUAAAUUUGGAUUAAAUUUAGGUUAAUUGAGUUUAACUUAAGUUGAUCAUAUUAAACUCAAGUUGAUUAAAGUAGACUCGAAUUGGCUAGAUUGAUUAGGUUACCUAAUUCAAAAUCUAUCCAUAAUAAAUUUUUUUAAAUCUUUAUAUUUAUACCAAAAUUUAAAUAAUUAUUAAGGAGUUUACAUGAGAGAUAGAAUGUGGAGAAAACAAAACAAAGCAUAACAGAGGAGAUAUAAAUUUUUUCAUGAGAGAGAUAACAUAUUUUUCUGGUUUCUUUUUUUUUUUUUUAGUUAACUCUAAUUUUGUUCUUCUAGAAUAUUUUGUCUAACAAUAAUAAAUAGGACAAAAUUUAGAGAUAAUAAUAAAAAAGUAAAAAUAAAUUUAAAUAGUAAAUAAGACAAAAUUUAAAGAUAACAAUAAAAAAUAAAAAUAAAAAUAAAUUUAUAUAUAUUUUCUAAAAAAUGAAAAUAUAUAUAAUAUAAUUAUAAUUUGAUAUUUUUUAAUAUAAAAAGAAAAUGAAUAUCAUUAUAUAGGAUAUAAACAUUAAAUUGAAUUUAAAUUAGAGUCAGGUUGUUUGAACCUUGACUCGAGCCUAACCCAAAUUGAGUUAGAAUUGAGAAAAUUUAACCUAAACUCAAUUUAAGUAUUGAAAAUAUUUACCCAAAUCUUGUUCAAACAUCAUAUUAGAUUACAUCCAAUUAGGUUCAGAUCAUGUUAGGGCAACCUAUUCAAGUUGUAUCCUUAAUUCUAACAUGUCAUGAAUAGUCUCAAUUUCCUUAGUGGAAUAUAUUUCUUUUAUUUAAUUCUUUAAAUGAAGUAUAUUUCUUUUAUAAAAAGGAAUAUUUAUAUGUGAUUGUAAUUACAUUUCUUAGCUUAUGUUUGAAUUAAUUUAUAAAAAUAAAUAUUAAUAUAUUUAUAUAUAAGUGUAAUUAGAUUCCUUAGAUUCUAUUUGGUUUUAAAAAAAUUCUAAAGAAAAUAAUGUUAAUGAAAAUGAUUUCUUAUGUUUAAUUAUAUUAUAAAAAAAAUGAAAAAAAAAUAAAUAAAAUUAAAAUUAGUAAAAAACAAAAACUUAUAUAUUUUUAAAUUACUUAGUCUUAAUAUAAAAAUUUUUAAAAAAAAGUGAAAUAAGUUUAAAAUAGUAUAUAAAAAUAAUUUAUUAAUGUUAAUCCAUUUUUUUUUCUUUUCCCCCAUUUUCUUUCUUUCAUAUUUUCUCUCAUAUUUUUUUGAACCAAAUAUAGAAUAAAAAAUGUCAAUAAGAAUAUUUUUAUAAAUAUUUUAGAGAAAAAGUUAUGAAAGAUGUGAAUUUGUAAGCACCAUGAAUAGAAAUGUGAGGAAGAGCUAUGGAUCGACUACCCUUACUCCAUCAAGUAUAAAAGUGAGAAAGAGUGAGAGAUACUUGAUAAUUGCUACAAACUCGUGAUUAAGGGUAGAUAUAUAAAGAAUGGGAAAAAAAAUUCAAUAGUUGUAUUGGUUUUUAUCUUUUAUUGUAUUCUCGAUUUUUUUUUUUCAUCCAUGGAGGUAAACAUAAUUGGCUUAAUCAAACCUUGUAUUAUGUGUGAAUGAAUUUAUUUUUAUGUUCCUCUUGGUAAUAUGUUGGCAUCAAGAAGGCUUCGACGUGCCCAACAUAAGAGAGCUCAUCUUGCCAAUCUUAAGCCGUCCUGCUCCUACCCACCAAUUGCUCUGGAAAUCCACACCUUAUCUCCAUUUUACUUUGAGUCGUAUGAGUAACCCAUAGCUACCGGAAAGUUUCCUAGUUCAUCCUAACACAAUACUCAAGUUUUAAUCUUUGAUAGCUUAUAGGCAAAAAAAAGCUUUUAAUAUCUAUCUAUUUCAUAAUAAUAAUAAUAAUAAAUCAUGUUGGUUUUAAUAAAUGUUAAUAUUGCCAUAAGAAGUAGGUGAUAUCUCUCUAUUUUUAUUUAGAAGUAAUAAUUUUUGUCGCAAUUAGAAAAUACACACUAAAUUUAACAUUUCACAAAAUUAAUAGGUUUGAUACAGAUUAAUCAUAAUUUACAUUGUAUUUAUGUCAACAACCUUAAAUAGUUUAUCAUUAACCUCAUCUUAUUUUUUUUAAAUAAAUUAAUUUAUAAUUAGUUUUAUUUGAAGUCUUAAAUUAGUGAAAUGAAAAUCAUUUUUAAAAAUAGUUAAUUUAUAAUUCAUAUAAAUUUAAAUACUUAAAUGAGUUAAACGAGUCUUAAUCGUAUAUAAAUAUAUCAAUUAUUAAUAAAUAGAUAAUUAUUAUAAUUUUAUAUUAAUUUAAUGUAAUUUAAUCCAAUCUAAUUCUACUUAUUUAUUAAUCGAGUUGUACCGAAUCUCAUGUUAAAUCUAUGUAAAAAAAUUGAUAAUUCUAAGUUAAAAAGACGAAUGAGCCAUUUAAUAAAUUUUACGAUGUUUUAAUUUAGACAUUAUAAGAAAGAAAGCAAAGAAUUAUUCAUCAAAAAAAAAAAAGAAAGAAAGCAAAGAAUCAAUCAAAGAGGCAAUAUUUUGAAUCUCCUCUUGAAGUAGGCGUUGUAGUGGGUGAUUUUCAAAAGUUGCAUUUGGAAUUUUGUUUUGAUUUUUCAAUGUGACUUUGCUGGGAAUCUUACAAGUUCCGUGGUUUGAAUAUUCUCUCUCUUCUACAUUAUUCUAGAAAAUGACAUCUUAAUUCAAUUUGAAAUAAAUCAAAGUAUGAUUUUAUUUCAAAAUUUAGAUGGAAAAGAAAAAUUCUAUUGGAGACCUGCAGGUGGAUGAAAGAGGUGUGAGGGUUCCACCGUAGCCAUCCCCAAAGGUCGGAGGGUUUAGACUGAUUCCAAGGAGUCGUAUAAUUCAUGGUACCAUCUAUUCAUCCAUGUGGAGUUUUAUGUGAACAUCAUUUUAGAGUAAGCAAGUUGCUAACUCUGGCUUGACUUUGAGGACUCGUGGACUUACGUUCUGUCAAUUAAUGCAUUCCCACUCAUCUGAGUUGUUCAUACCUCUAAGCUCAUGACUCAAAGUCAGUUAUAUUGAUCAAAUUGUUCAUAGUAUUUAGAGUCGUAAACUCAUGAUCCGAAGUCAUUCAUGUCAUUCAUAAUCCUAAAUUGUUCAUAACAUUAAAAGACUUGAACUCAUCAAAUAUAAUCGUUCAUAUCAUUUAUAAUCUUUAAGUUGUUUAUAGAAUCUAGAGCUUUUGAGUCCAUAUUUAUUUUUGUACUUUUAUAAUCAAUUUUGGAGUUAUGAUAAAACCCUAUUUUCUCCCUGAAUUCUCCAUUAAGGGGUUUCUUGUUUUGCUCCAAAUUUUCUGCAUGCCAAUCCUAGCUUCACUUCCCUACCUUCAUCCAUUCAGACAGUCCCUUCUCUCUCUUGAUGCUCCAGCCUGUCAAAAUUACCCUUUUGCCCCAAAGAUGUUCAACUGGGAAGUCCUAAGAGUCCAGCUGCACCAUUGCAGGAUGACCAGCUCGAAUACAAAGAAAAGUAGAAAACUCUAUAAAAAGAUUAAAUCAUAAAAAAAACAUUUCUUUUAAGAAAGAAAAAAAAAGAAACAGAGAGAGAAAUAUUUAUCUUCUUAAUUAGAAAAUUCAUUCUCUUUGUUUCUAUUAUUGAGUGUUACUUAGAAAAAAAAAUUAAUAGAGUUAAAUAUUGUAACAAAUUAAAGAUUCAUUUUUAUUGGACUGAUUAAGUCAUUCACUUAAGAAUAAAAAAUAAAAAAACAAAUAUCACUAUAUGUUAAGUAAUUCACCAUACCAUAUAAACUUAAAAUAUUUUAUUUCUUCUAAGCCUUAAAAAUAAUUUAUUGAUUUUUCUUUACUUCUUAAUAUGUAAUAGAAAUAAAAUAUUAAAAAAAAAACAAAAACAAACAAACAAUUUAAUCUUAACACUAUUAAGCACCAUUUAGUAUUAAGUUCUAUUUAGAAUUAAAAAAAAAAAAACAUCACCUUAAUGUAGAACUAGAUAAUCUAAUAUAAAUUAUUUAUAUUUUGGAAAUAAGAAAAGAAAAGAAAAUGAUUUUAUAUUUGAUAAUACCAAAACAACUCUCACUUGUAUUUUUACUUCUUUUCCUUCUUAACUUAAAAAUAACAAUGAAAUAGAUUUUUCAAGUACUCAUUCCAUUUUAUCCCUAAUAGAACAUAACGAAUUUAAAAAAUAUCCUAAAUUGGUUAGAAUCGGUUCCUUCUUUUUCUUUUUUUUUCUUUUUUCUUUUUUUGUAUAAAAAGAAACUACAACGUAGAAUAUCUACACAUUCAAUUGAAAGAAGAUCCACAAUAAUUUUCAAAGCCAAACUUUAUAACAUCUAUAGAAAAACCUGACCUCCAUGGGAAAGACUAUAAAUUAUGGAUGUCUUUUCUAGCUAAACAAUAUGUUGUUCUAUUUAUUUUUCUAUAAAUAUGCUGACAAAUACAAACAUUAAGGUCUUAAGUUAUCUUUCAAAUAUCUUCCAUUAAUAACAUAACAAAACCAAGUUUAAAAAUAUACUGGUUCUAGUAUUACUUUAUUCCACCGCCAUGUCUUUGUCAUAUAUAUAUAUAAUUAAAUAAAAAUAGCAAUUUAUUUUUAUUUCUUUUUUAAAACAUAUGAAAUAUCAUAAACUAAAUUAAACAAAUUUUAUGUUAAACAAUUUUUUUAAAAAAAUAUGGGAUGACAUACCCAAGUUGCGACCUCAACUAGGGGAAGCCAACCAUUAUUCUCAACUCACACACAAUAUCACAAUUAAUUAAUUUAUUGAAUUAAGAAAUUAAUUUUUUUAUUUUUAUAUUUAUUUUUUAUGUAUAUUUGUUCUUUUGUAGAUGUCUCAAUGUUCUAGAGGUAUUUAUAUUUAGAAAAAUGUUUUAAAUAUUAGAAAAUGUAUUUCAAAAUCAAAUAUCAAAUAAAAUUUUAAAGGUAUCGAGAUAUAAAUUUCAAAGUAGAAUGUAUUGAAUUUAAAAAAAAAAAAUAGUGUCUUGUUAUCUCAAAUCUUAAUAUAAAUCUUUAUAAAAUACAAUCCCAAAUGGUAAUUACUUUUAUUUUUAUUUUUAUUUUCUAUUAAAUAGAUUAAUCAAAUAAUAUGUUUAUAUUUGAAUUUGGGAUAUGAAUUCUAUAUAAAAUUGAACCAAAUCUUAAUUUGAGCUUCUCUCAAAUUUCAAUCCUCAUUAUUUUUUGUGAAAAAAAUCAUUAUAUUUUAAAUAAAUUUAUUAAAAAUGAUUUUUUUUUUCAUUUGAAUUUUAAGACUCUCCAUUUUCCUAUAAACAAUGUCUAUAAGUUUGAAAUUCAAAAAAUAAUUAUUUAUGCUUUUGAAAAAGAGGUAUUUGAAAAGAUUUAAUUAGGAAAGUUUCUAAAUUAUUCCAUUGCUCUCGUCCAUUCUCAUUUUCAUUUCAAAGUAAACUUUACAUUGAAGAGUUAUAUCUUGUGUUUGACAAAAUAGUUUUUGAAUUUAUUAAUUAUUUAAAAAAAUAAAAUAAAUUAUAUAUAAAAAUAAAAAUAUAUGGACUUCUUCUCAUAGAAGAUAUUAUACUAUUAAGAAAAAUUCUCUAUUCUUCUCUAUGAAACAACCUAUUAACACACCAUAACAUAACGCUCAUUUAUCGUAUUAGCAAAAGUUACAAAGGAGAAAGAGAAACAUAAACUAAUGAAAGAGAAUAAUAGUUUCACACAAAUUUUGGAGAAAUCCAAAGUAGAGGUUGUUGGGAAUGUGGAUAAAGCGAUGUAAUGGUUGUAAGAAUACAUAGAAUACAUUUAAUCCAAAUGUAUGAAACUUUUGCCAUAUGAAUCAAAUCUAAAAGGAUUUCGGAUUAGCUACUUACCUCCAACCAUUGGUUUUGAAUUUCUGUAGUUGGUGCAAGUCUUUGAUUUUCCAAACUCUGAUAUUUCUUGUUAGAUGGUGUAUUUUUGAAAAACAGUAGAGAAACGAGUUCGGGACCAAGACUGAUAUAUAAAACUGUGGCUUCCCAUCAAACCACAUUGUUUGUCAUUCGCCACCACUCUCAGCAGUUUGUGGAACAUGUUCCUAAAUUGUAGGGAAGUGAGACGAUCUAAUGGAAGGACUUGGUCAAGGUGUUGACCACUUCAGAGUUGUGUGAACGUGUAACAGAUAACAUUCUCCCACCUGGUCUACACUUUUAACCUAAUGUCUCAUCGUAGUCCAUCAAUUAUCCACAUUAAGUAACAAAUACAUGAAUCAUGGCGAUAAGUCCUCUAUAUAACGAGUGUUACUUUCCAUGUAUUACAGUGUAUUCAUUUCUUAACAUUAUACUUUAUGUGACAAUAUUACUUAAUGAAUAAACCCUAUGUUCAUUCUUGGUCCAAGGAAGUUGAAUUUCCUCAAAAUUAAAUAAAAGGUGCACAUCAAUAUGAGAAAACAUCGUAAUUAGAGUUUGUACAAUAGAAACUACAUAAGAGAACUAAGUCCCAUGUUCACUACAUGAUCCUUGAAUUUCAACAGUGGCAUGCCCUUAGUCAAAGGAUCAACGAUCGUCAAUUCAGUGCUAAUGUGCUCAAUAACCACUUUAUUUUCUUUAACACGUUCUCUUAUGGCUAGAUUCUUAAUGUCGAUGUGCUUGCUUCAAUUUCCACUUUUAUUGUUCUUUGCCAUAAAGACAGUAGUUGAAUUGUCGCAUAUAUACUCAAUGGCUUAGAUAUUAAAUCUAUAAUCCUAAGCCCGAAAAUGAAACUCUUAAGCCAUACUCUGAUAUCGUCCUAACAUUCCAACAAAAAAUGCAAUGUUAGGCAUUAUGUAGACCUGAGCAUACAUUAGAUUUUCGAUUGUAGAAUCAUAUGGAAUGUUCUUCAUUUGUUCCCUUUCAAGAUCGUUUUUCGAGUAUCAGUUCAGAUUGAACCUAUCACCCUUCAGUAUAGGGGAAACACUAGGUGAACAAUCCUUCAUUUGAAAUCUCUUUAAAAGUUUUUUGAUAUAGGUUUCUUGAGACAGACCUAAGAUGCCUUGAAAUCUGUCUCUAUGGAUCUUAAUGCCAAUGACAUAAGAUGCCUCACUCAUAUUCUUCAUGUCAAAAUUUUUAAAGAGAAAUUGUUUCACCCAUGAAGUAAAUCAUUAUCAUUGGUUGCAAGUAAGAUGUCAUCCACGUAUAAAACAAGAAAAUAAACUUUACUCCUAUUGACCUUAAGGUAUAUGUAUUGAUCCAUAACAUUUUCUACAAAACCAAAUGAAUAAAUUAUGUUAUGGAACUUUAAAUACCAUUGGCGGGAUGCUUGUUUUAAACCGUAUAUGGAUUUCUUAAGUUUGCAAACCAAUUUCUCACCAUCACUAGAGGGGAAUCCUUCAGGUUGUUUCAUGUAAACCUCCUCCUCUAGCUCUUCAUUAAGAAAUGCAGUUUUCACAUCCAUUUGUUGCAAUUCCAAAUCAAAGUAGGCUACUAAUGUCAAUAUAAUGUGUAAGGAAUCUUUCUUAGAUACAGGAGAAAAGGUUUCCGUGUAAUCGAUUCCUUUUUUCUGAGUGAACCCCUUUGCAACAAGUUUGGCCUUGUAUCUCUCAGUGUUGCCUAAUGAGUCUUUCUUUGUCUUAAAAACCCAUUUACAACCAAUGACUUUUGCAUCAUUAGGCAACUCAACAUGGUCCCAAACAUCGUUGCACCUCAUGGAACUCAUCUCAUCCUUCAUGGCAUUGUACCAUAAUUCUAAUUCUUUGCAACUCAUGGCUUGUGAAAAAGAUUUGGGAUCAUUUUCGGCUCCUCUAUUGUAGUUAGAUUCUUGUAGAUACACUACAUAAUCACUAGGAAUUGCUGACCUCUUAGUUCGAGUAAACCUUCUUAAGGUUGCACCAUUAUCUUCUAGGGAAGUAUGAGGUUCAACUUGUUGUUCAGAAGUGUGAGGCAACUCCUGAUCAACUUGAUUUAUUGAAAUGUUGUCAACAACUUGUGGAACUUCAAUGACUGGUUAGACUUUAGCGAUUGUUUGUUCUGCACCCGUUUGAACUUGAGGGGUGUUAUGAACAACCAACAAUCUAUCACUUGAAGUGGAAGGUUGAGACUCUGUAUGAUCAAUAUCAGAAACUAUGUUUCUGAAUUGAUUGCUUUCACUGACCAAGUUGUAAUCAAGAAAUUUAGCAUUUCUUGAUUCCACAAUCCUAGUGUUGUGAGAUGGACAGUAAAAUCUAUACCCCUUAGACUUUUCAUUAUAUCCAAUUAAACACCCACUUAUAGUCCUUGGGUCUAGUUUCUUCUCUUGUGGAUUGUAAAUUCUCACUUCAGACGAGCAUCCCCAAACGCACAUAUGUCGCAAACUCGAUUUCCAAUAUUUCCAUAACUCAAAUGGCGUCUUUGGGACAACCUUGGUUGGAACUCAGUUUAAUAUAUACACUGUCAUCUUAAGUGCUUCAGUCCACAAGAAUCUUGGAAGUUUUGAGCUGCUAAGCAUACUCUUCAGCAUGUACAAUAAAGUUCGGUUUCUUCUUUUUGUUACACCAUUUUAGUCUAAAAAAUCAGACAUGGUGUAUUGGGCAACAAUCCCAUGCUCUUAAAGAAACUUCGCAAAUGGCCCAGAUGCUUGUCCAUUUUCCAAGUAUCUACCAUAAUAUUUUCCACCUCUAUCUGAUCUCACGAUCUUAAUUUGUUUACCACAUUGUUUAUUUACUUCUACCUUGAAAACCUCAAAGGCAUCUAAUGCUUUAUUUUUGUUGUGAAGUAUGUAGAGAUACAUGUAUCGUGAGAAAUCAUCUAUGAAAGAGAUGAAGUAUUUUUUACCAUGAGAGUCCAUGUCAAGACUACAUAUAUCAAUAUGUAUGAUCUCUAAUAUGACGGAACUCCUAGUAGCACCUUUAUUUGACUUGUUGGUCUGCUUUUCCUUAAUGCAGUCCACACAAGUCUCAAAGUCAGUAAAAUCUACAGUACUAAGUACCCCAUCAUUUACCAACCUUCUGAUUCUAUCUAUGGAGAUAUGACUUAAUCUCCGGUGCCAUAAUGUAGAGGAAUCCUCAUUUACAACACAUUUUUUAAUGCCAGUUUGGACAUGUAAUGAACUAUAAGUGGUAUCAUUUUGUAAGAAUAUGCGAUAAAGAUCAUUAGACAAAAUACCAUUCCCAACACAAUCAGAUUUUUAAAUCAAACUGAAAGAUGUUUAUGAAAAAUGAAAUGAAUAUCCAAACGGUACAAGUCUAGAAACUGAAAUUAAGUUUCAUGAGAAACUUGGUACAUAAAAGGUCAUUUGCAAUUCCAAAACAAAACCACCAUUUAAAGUUAAAUAAUGUGUCCCUAUUGCUUCCACAUGCGAGCCCAUCUUGUUUUUGGAUAAGAUGAAUUGCUCACAACUCAUUGGCUUCCUUAGGUUUUGCAUACCCUACAAGGAAUUUGAAAUGUAGAUUGUAGAUCCAGAAUCAACCCACCAUGUGUUGGUAUUUACAUUAACCAUAUUAGAUUCAUAACAAACAAAUGAGGUAGGGUUACAUUUCUUCUCAAGCCAUUUCUAUAAUUUCAGAUAUUUAUUUUUCAUGUGUCCUUUUUUUUUUACAGAAGAAACAUUUUUUGUCUUUCUUAAUGUUAGAUUUGGGAGGAAUUUGUUGCUUCCCUUUCUGACUGGCUUGAGAUUUUCCUUUUUUUUUCUUUCUUUUGCGUCACCAGCAUAACACUUUCUCCUUGCUCCAUCAUUAACCUUUCUUCCUCUUGAACACACAUGGUCAUCAAUUCAUUGAUAGACCAUUUAUCCUUACGUGUGUUGUAAGAGAUUUUGAAAUGUCCAUACUGAGGUAGAAGAGUGUUAAGGAUAAAGUGCACCAAGAAAGAUUCAAACAUUUCUACCUUGAGUUUCUUUAGUUGAGCCACUAUGUCCCUCAUUUCCAUGAUGUGUUCACGUUUACCUUUUAUACCGGUGAACUUCAGGAAUGUGAACUUCAUAAUUAGGGUGCUUUCCAAGGCUUUAUCUGAAGUGACGAAUUGAUCGUCAAUAACCUUUAACAAUUCGCGGACAUUCUCAUGCUGCUCAAUUGAACCACAUAUACCAACACUAAUUUUUGUCUAAAUAUACAUCACGUUGAGGCAAUUAAAUUUCUCCCAGCGUUCGUACAAAGAAUUUCAUUAGGUGUGUUAGUAUCAGUGAUCUUAUGUGGUUCAUAUUUCCUUAUGGUAUAGUUUAUGUCAUGCACCCUAAUUUAAGAAGAACUUUCUCCUUCCAUAUUUUAAAGUUAUCUCCCCUCAGUUCGAGAACCUCACAACGAAUAUCAGAUAUGCUAGGUAAAAUUGCACAAAAAGAUUACAAGCUUAUUAAUAUUUGAGGCUUUAAUUUAAAUUCAUGUUUUACCAAUGUAAAACACACUUAAAAAUUGAAUAUAAUUUUAUUAAAAAUUGCAUGUGGGCUAAAUCUUUAAUUUAAUCAGAUUCAUUAUCUUUAUGAUAGAUUUUAUCAAACUAUUUUAUUGAAUUUAUAAAAUUUAUUAUGAAUAUAGUUUGAUAUCUUCUAUCUAUAAGCUUUAUGAUAAACCAUUAAAUUAAUUCUUCCUAACUCCUGUGGGUAAAUUAAGAAAAAUUAAUUUUAACAUUUUAUCCUAAUUAAUUAUAUAAACAUAAUGAAAUCCCUGUGGAGUAAAAUCAUCAUAUUUAUAUAAUUAAUUACAAUUAAUGUCCAUAAUGUGAUCCUUAUUCACUUAAUAUAUAAUUUUAUAUAAUUAAAGAUGUUGUGACUAUUAUUUAAUUAUUUAAAAUUAUAUGGUUCACUUGACAUUAAAACUAUAUGAUACAACUUUAAUAUAUCUAUCACAAAUUUAGGUAACAAUUGCAUGCUAUUAAAACUACAACUUUAAUUUAUCUAACUCAAAUUUAGGCUACAUUUUUACACAUACAAACAUAUAAAUUAGAAUAAAAUAAUUUAAUUUGCAUGUAUAAAAAUCACAUAAUAAUUUAAAAUUAAUUUAAAAGGAUUUCAGAUUGUGAUUGGGUGCCCAAGUCCAUAUAAAAACACAAUCAGUUCUAAGCCCAACAAAAAAUAAUUCAAAUUUGGCCAUAAGGGCCUAAACUAGCCCAACUUUCACAUUUAUCCCAUGGCCCAACAUUUAAUGCCCUUAUUUUUGCAAAAUGGGUCACUGCUCAUGCAUUGAGCCUAAUGGGCCCAAUAACCAUUUAUAUCAAGGCCCAAAACCUUAGUGGGCUUCAUUGGAACCUAAUCUCUCUCGAGGUUCUUCAUUAUCUUAAUAUCAACUUGUAGACCCCCUACCGGGGAGGAGGAGUUUUUGACCAUUUUUAUCUUGCUAUCAUGAUUACUUUUCUGACCACCCGGGAAACGAGUUGCUUUGGGCGGCCAUGGGAUGGGAUGAGGCGAGCUGCUGGUGGCGGCGAGUGACAGCUUGGAGGAGAAGCUGCCAGCAGAGAAAAAAUAUAUGUAUUUCUUUGGGGCUGUGGCGAAAAGCGGAGUGGAGGGGGAGCUAGAGAGGAAAAGACUUGACAAAAAAGAGGAGUUAGGACAGAGAAGAAAGGAGAACAGAGAGAGAUUUUUAUCUAGGGGGCAGGCAGAAAAGCUGAGUGGAUGGGGAGCAAAUCCGACUCCAGGAAGCACUCCAGGUACGUUCAUUGUGAACCAUAUUUUUUAUUCUGGGUAUCAUUCUACUGGAUGUCUUUGUUGCUUUAUGUGUUCGUUUAUACACUUGUGCUGUUGGUUUUUUCUCUAUUCCAUGGAUCCGACUUGAGAAACUGAUGAAAGCCUUCGUCUUAUCCAUCAUGAGACACCAGAGACAUGGGUUGCAGUUUGGUUUUGACUCUGUAUAUGUUUUUUCCACUAAUAUGAACCCAUUUCUCUUUCCAUCGUCGCCACUCUCUCAACUCCAUUUUCAUUCACCGGAAUCUUGUUUCUGUCCCUGAAAUAUCAUCUCCCCCUCUCGUUUCGCCAACACGAUUGGACUGCGUUUCAGAUCCCAGUCCGAUAAAAAUGGCUGAACACGCCAAAGGUUCAAGAGCCGUAUCUGAAUCCUCACUGGAAAAGAUCACCGACGAGUUGCAAGGCCAUGAUUCAUCAUCGUCCGACUCCGUUUCCGAUCCUGAUAAAACAGCGUCGCCGUCGUCCAUCAAAGCCAAGGAUUUUCGCCUCUUUGGACGGGAGAAGCUGGUCCAUACAGUUCUCGGCGGAGGAAAACACGCUGAUGUAUUUUUGUGAAGGGACAAGAAGAUCUCGGCUGGAGUACUUGGCGGAGUUGUGCAGAGACGAGAGGAUGUCAGCAAGUCUGCGCAGCAGGAACAUGAAACUUAUCUCUCUCAUAAAACGCCAUCAAUGCUAACUUUAGUUUGCCUUUGAUUUUGGGAGUAGCAUUUAACGAGAGUGCCAUUAAAAGUCUCAAUUUCCAGUUUUCAUCAUUAGUCAAAUGUUUUUCUCUUUUUUUUAUCCAUAAAAGCCAACCAUCAUUCCAUGUUGUAAUUUCCAUCAUCACCACCGACAAGACCAACCCACUACCAAUCUCAACUUUUUUUUUUUUUUUAAUUCUUUCAUAUGUUGAUGUCUUAAUUUAAUUUUUAAAUUUAAUUUUUAAAAUUCUGAAUUCUUUUAAAAUUAAUUUUUCAAACUUCAUUUUCUCAAUUUAAUAUUCAAAACUCUAAUUUCCGAAAUUUCAUUUUUUUAAUUUUUUAAAUUUAAUUUCCAAUUUCUAAAAUUUCAAUUUUUACAUUUAUUUAUUUAAUAAUUACUAUCUUCGUUAUUAUUAUUAUUUUAUUUUUAAAAUUUCAUUUUUAAAUAAUUCUUCAAAAUUUUGAUUUCCAAAUUUAAUUCCCAAUUUCCGAAAUUCUAAUUUUCCAAUUUCCAAAUUUAAUUUCUAAUUUCUAAAUUUUCAAUUUUCACAUUUGUUUAUUUAUUUAUUUAUUAUCAUCAUUUUAUUUAUUUAUUUUCAAAAAUUUCACCUUCAAAUAAAUUCCAAGUUUCCAAUUUUUAUAAUUUAAUAGUUCCAAACUCUCAAAUAAUUUUCAACAUUCCAAUUUCUUUUAAAUUUAAUUCCUAAAUUCCAAUUCCUAAAGUUAAUUCCUAAAUUCCAAAUUUCUAGUGAUCUUCGAGAUUCCAAUUUUCAAAUAAAUUUCAAAAAUCUAAUUUUCUCCCAAAUAGUUUUAAUUCCGCUCUGGCUUUCAAACAAUCUUCUGUUCCUCUUGACUUUAAUAAGCAGGAACGAAUUUUCCGUAAUUCCGAAUAAUGGAAUUUAUGGGAUUAAUUCAUGCAAUAUAAAUCGGGUUUUGGUGGGGGCCCAACACAUGUGAUUUCCUCAUGAUUGAUUGAUUGAUUGUUUGAUUUAAUUGCCAUGCAUGAUCGAUUUUAUUCUGCUCUAUGACAUGCUCGAAAUUAUUCCUUAAUUGUGCGCUAACCUCACUUCUUGAUAGCGCUUUAUGGAUCACUGCCCAGGUACGCAUCCACACUCGCUUGGGUCAUUUUCUGUACGCAUGUUUAGAUUCUCACAUGUGCAUGAUCACUCUGAGUAUUCAUUGAUUCCCUCAUCAAUUGCCAUGAUUGUUUCAUUUUAUUAGUAGAGACCCGACUUUAGGGACUUAGAAGGGUGCUACGGUCCUUACCGUAUCUUCCCGAUAAUUAAACCUGACCCGGUUUUUCGCAGACCGUCUUUUCCAAAAUAAGGAGUCACACUUAGGGUUUUUCUUUCUUAUUUUGUUUACCCUUUAAAAAUAAAACAAAAAUGAGUGGCGACUCCAAGUCAUUUUUCUUAAUCAAUAAAGAUCAUUUUUUCGAAAACAAAAAUCGAGCUCGCCAUCGAGUGGGAAACGCAUUGAGCCGAAAUGCGAGGUCCACACAACUGCAGUCGAACCCAUGAUUCUAUUUUUCCACUACCCCAUGGACUGCUUCAUCACCGGCAGCACCGUGUUUGCCGCGAUUCGCGUGGACUGCACCGCAUCGAAACUCAGCGCGACAACCUUCCAACACCGGCAAUAGUCCAAGCUUUGGAGCCCCUUGCAUCACACUGGAACAGUCUUCACCAAUGCCCUACAGCCAUCUGCAACACCAGGCAAGAAAAACCUUCAUUGGUGCUUCCACGUGCGACGACAUCACCAUUCAGGAAAAGCCUCAUGUAGUGCUUCCAUGCGCGGUGGCCUUUCUUCACCUGAAAAACGCUAUCGUUCCGAAUGUUUCAGAGGUCAACAGACACUCAUAAUGGCCUUUGCACCCACACCCACCAGAUUGUUGCCCUAGCCUUAAUCAUCGUCACCUUAAAAAAUGGGUGUACCGGAGACAGACCUGCUCUGAUAGCUUGGUUUGCCACCUGGGUUAUGAUUUUAUCCUAUCAACGAGGAGCUUAUGGUGCAGUAUCUAUGUUGGAAAGUUGUCGGAAAGGGGUUUUCAUUGGAGAUAAUUGGAGAAAUUGAUCUCCAAAUUUGGCAAAUGGGUUCUUCCCAGUAAAACUAUAUUUGGAGAGAAAGAGUGAUACUUUUUCAGUCCCAAAGAUCAGAAGUACCCGAAAGGGUCCAGACCCAAUAGGGUGCUGGGUUUGGGUAUUGGAAGGCAACCAAAACUGAUAAGGUGAUUACCAUCGAGGGCCGGAAAGUUGGCAUGAAGAAAGUGUUAUCUGUUACUUUCCCAUCAACAAGCAAGGUAUUUCAAUUUAUGCAGUGAUUUAAGAGACUAGAAAUACCAAAUGUAGCAAAGUAUCUCAUGCAAAAAACAACACUAAAGCAUAAGUAAAAUUUGUGUUGCUCUGAUACCAAAUGUAAGAAUACAUGGAAUACAUUCAAUCCAAAUGUAUGAAACUUUUGCCAUAUGAAUCAAAUCUGAAAGGAUUGAGGAUUAGCUACUUACCUCCAGCCAUUGGUUUUGAAUUUAUGUAGUUGGUGCAAGUCUUUGAUUUUCCAAACUCUGAUCUCUCUCGUUAAAUGGUGUAUUUCUGAAAAACAAUAGAGAGACGAGUUCGGGACCAAGAUUGAUAUAUAAAGCUAUGGCUUCCCAUCAAAUCAUGUUGUUUUCCAUUUGCCACCACUCUCAGCAGUUUGUGGAACAUGUUCCUAAAUUGUAGGGAAGUGAAACGAUCUGGUGGAAGGACUUGAUCAAGGUAUUGACCACUUUAGAGUUGUGUGAACAUGUAGCAGAUAACAACGGUCUUAUCAUUUAGACUGAAAACAUAGACACUUCCAUCUAAAGGAUUUAAAAAUCUACAACGUUGGCGGAAGUAUAUAGAAUUUGGCUUGCAUCCCGCAAAAUUAGAAGCUAUAAUAGAAAUUGAAUGAUGGUCUCCCAAAAACAAGUAGACAAGUAGACGUUGUCCAAACUCAUAACCUCUUCCCAUCUUGGAUUCUUUGAAAACCAUACUAACUUAUAAAUCACGAAUCCCUAUCCAUGCUUUAUAAUCCGCAUGAGAUCUCUUUCGGGAGAUUCCACUAAAUAUGAGAUAGGAGAUUCCAACAAAUAUAAGACAAGAGCACACUCAUUUUCAGGUGAAGUAAUCAUUUUCACUUUAAAAUCAUUACUCACAUCAUAAGAGAAAGAGCACACCCUAUCCGUCUAAUACAUAGAAUAACCCAUUGUUGUAAAUAAUAUCUUCCAAAUCCCGCAAGUCUUUAAUAUAAGUCCAAUCUUCUUCUCCUGAUUUAAUGAAUGCUAAUCUUCCUACCACACUACCACACGUCAUCAUGAGUACAUCCCUAUUAACAUCACGAUCAAUUCACAAUACACCCCUCAUCGGCUUAUAAGGAUUAUAAGGAUCCAGUGAAUAGGUUGAGGAGGGUUACCAUAUAAGAAUCCUCAUCUACUAGAAUCAUCCAGCCAUGAGAAGACCCUUCAUACCUCCCCCCAACUAAACCUCCCAAAGGCUUUUUCCUUUCAUGACGUCAUAUAAAUUGCAACCAUCUCUGGGAUUAUCUUUGGUGGGAGCCAAUAACAAUGGGACUUGUUGGUGCAGACGACAAUAGUGUUUAUGGUUAGAGCAUAAAUGCUGAAGUUUUUCACAAACUGCAUAUUUCCAUUCAAUGCAAACCUCACUGGAUGUGAAGUAGUUCUCUAUGGCCACUAAGUAAUCUAAGAUCGAAUCGAGAAGAUUUAUAGGGACUGAUGCCCAAUCUGAACUUGAGAGCAAAGCCAUUAUUCUAGUUGUGAUCUAAAGAGGAAGAAGAUGAUGUAAACUUAGGGUUUAACAGAUUAGGGUUUAACGACCCUUAUUUAAAAGAAAAAAAAACAAAAAAAAAAAAAAACAAAAAAUGAGAGUUUGGUCCGAUUCUAAUAUCUUCUAAAACUUUAACAACCUUAUUUAAAAAUAAAUAAAUAAAUAAAAUAACCAGAACAAAAGAGGAUAGUUUGAUGUUAUUGUAACACCUUCUAAAACCUAGCAACCCUAUUUUAAAAAUAUAAAAAUAAAGAAAAGCCCAAAAGAAAAGCAAAAAAAAAGAGUUUGAUCUUACUAGUUAUCUUCUAAAACCCUAAUAACCGUAUUCAAAAAAGAAAAAAUCAUAUGAAAAACAAAAUCAAAAGAACAAAACAAAAUAGAAGAGUUUGGUCAGAUUCUAAUAUCCGCUAAAACUCUAGCAACCUUAUUUAAAAACAAAAAAAUAAAACAAAACAAAAAAUGCCAAACUUUUUUACCAUUGUGAAAAACUUUGUCAAUCAUAAAACAAACACAUUUAAAAAAAAAAGACAAAAAGAAAUAUUUAUUUUUUAUUAUUGGGUUUUAUUAAAAUAAAAAAAGAAAAAACUUAAUAUAACUGUUAAAUAUAGUAACAUAUUAAAGAUUCAUUUAUAUUGGGCUAAUUAAUUAAGCCAUUCCAAUAGGAAGGGAAAAAAAAAAAGUAGAUAUCACUACAUGUUAAGUAACACCUACCAUAUAAAAUUAAAAUAAAUAUACUUUAAUUUGAAAAAAAUUUCAACUUUAAUAACAAAUUUAAUCUUGAAAUCACCAAGACCUCGUAGAAUCUUGAGCAUGUUUAUCAAUUUUCUACGUUCUUUGGAUUUGUGACCUCUUUUUAAAUUGUUCUUAGUGGGUGGGUCAUGGUAUAUAAUAACUAAAUCAAACAUUGGAAUCAAUUUAUUCAUCUUUUUCAAGGAUAAGCUUGUCUUUAUGAUAGCACAUGGAAUCUUCGGUAUUAUAAUCAAUGAUGACUUUGACACCAUAUUAUAUUUACUUGACAAUUGACAAUAAUUUAGAAAUAAUUCCAAAGAUUCAACCGAAUAUAAUGUUUGGUUUUGGGGAAAGGAAUCUUUGAUGAAUUAUUAAAUUAGUUUUUCCUUUUUAGAAAAGUUUUUAAAAUAUUAUAAAAUAUAUUUCAAAAUCAAAUGUAAUUUUAAAAAAAAUAUUAUUUAUAGAAAAGUAUAUUAUAUUAAAUUAUAAAAAAUUAAAUAUCAAAAUCAUCUCAAAUUUUAAUGUAAAUAUUUUUAAAAUAUGCUCCCAAAACUAACUAUUAAAAUAAAUGAAUAUAUGAAGAAAUAUAUGGCUAAUAAAGUAUUUCUUAUUUUUUAUUUAUAUUUUCAAAUAUUCAUUUUUCUUAAAUUUAUCAUCAUAAUGAUCUUGUAUUUUUUUUUUCUCAAUUUCAUUUUUUUAAUCAAAAUAUGGACCAUUUGGAUACUACAAAAUUAUUGAAGAGAAUCUAUCCUUGUGACCAAGUCUUUGAUUCUAGUUGCCUUCAAAUAUUUCUAAGUUCUAGAUUCAUUAUUUUGAAAAAGAGCCAAAGAAGAAAAGGAUAGGACAAAACAAAUAAACAUAAAUACAUAAUUUUUACCCUAACAUAUUUUAUUAUAUAGUCUUACCUAAUUAUAUAUAUAGGUAUUCUUUAUUACAUUGUCUUACCAAAUAAGAUUUAUUUAUAUUUGAAAUUGUAACAUGACUUCUUUAUAAAAUUCAAACACACAACCACUAAAUCUUAAUUUCAAGCGUCUGGUUUGAAUAAUUUAUCUUUUCGUAAUGGUGGGAUAUGAAGGGUUGGUUUCGACGUGAUUUUUGAAACUUAUUUUUAAAAACUAUUAAAAAAAUAAUUUUUAAAAACAAGAGGUGGGAUAUGAAGGGUCACGUGAGCAUGUUUUUUUAAACUUAUUCUUAAAAAUUGUUUUAAAAAAUAACUUUUAAAGACAAGUUUCAAAAUUUUAUUUUUAAAAACAGGUAAAAACAAUUUUUACUUAUCUUUUUCUUAAUUUAGUAUGAUAAUGAGACGAGUUUUUUUUAACCUAAACCUAUUUGAAAUAGGUUUAAGAAUUUUUUUUUUUUUUAAACUUGGAUUUGAAGAUAAUGGGGAUAAUUGGGAUUUAAGGUUCAAUUAUAUAUAUAUAUAUAUGAUGAGAUAAGUUUUUUCAAAUAUCAAUCUCCAUUCCUUUCCUAAUAGAAUGGAUUUAAGAAAAUCUUAAUUGGUUAGAAGCAGGUUUAAGAAUGAGAUGACGUACCCAAGUUGCCACCUCAACUAGGGAAGCCAACCAUUAUCCUCAACCAACCAAUACACAAUACGACAAUACAAUACAUGCAUACAUACCUCCAUUUGCUCUCUUCUUCCCCUUAUAUUGCCUUGUCUUUUUCCUAUUGAAAGGUGAUACUGAUUCAUGGAAUUUGGAAAGAUUUAAUUGGUAAAGUUACCAAGUUCUUCUUACACCUCCUCAUGUUCAUCCCAAUCCAGCAGACUAUGGAUUGGAUAGGCAUAUGUUGUGCUUUAAGAGGUUUCCAUUAAUAGUUUUUUAAAAUUAGUUUUUGAAUUUAUUAAUUAUUUAAAAAAUAAAUAAAAUUUUAUUUAAAAAUAAUAAUAAUUUUUUUUUUUACAUUUAGAAUUCAAUGGUGAUUUUAAAAAACAUUUUUAAUCUAAAAAUUAAUUUAAAAAAAAAUCAGAUAUUUUACAAAAUUUUAAAAACAUUUUUAAAACUUAAAAAAAUCACUUUCAACUUUAUUCUUCUAAAAACACUUUAUUUGUUUUAUACCUAUCAAACCCCAAAUAAAAAGUGGACAUUAAAUUGACCAACUUCAAGUUAUCUUUUGAAGACAUUCAUAGAUAUGUCGGUCUCUCUUGUUUCAAAACUCUUCUACUGUUAGAAAAUUAUCAACUUUAAGCCAUUCUUUUUAAUUCCUUUUCAAAAAUGGGUGAUUGUCCAAAGGCAGCAUAGAAUUUUCUUACCAAACAGUAAUUUUCUCGCCAAACAUGACAUCAAUUUCCGUCCAUCAUACAUGGUUAACAUGGGCGGCUGCAAAUCCAAGAUCAUGUACUUCCUUUUUGACCAAGCUUCCUCAAAAAUGGUCACAUUCGCCGCUCCACAACAUGGCAGAUGGCAGCCCCAUUUUUUGAAAUAAAAAUUAAAAAGCGAGCCAUUAAUGCAAUUUCCGAAAAAAGAGGAGGAAUCUCGCAAUUAUUUAAAAUUUUCAGGGGUGGAAAAUGCGAUUUACGUACUCUUCAUUUCUUCUUCUCCAAAUUUAUUUAUUAUAUAACCGUACUCACACCUCACACUUGUUGUCUUGAAAGAGCUGAAGUCACAGAGUUUGAGUUACAGUGAAGAAACUCUUCACAUCAAUGGCGGCUCUCUCGAGCUUCUUCAAGAGAAAAUCGUCGAUACCCCUUACCAGAUGGUUCUCCACUCAACCUAUCCUCGAGUCUCCGUCUUUUUCCCGGAGAAUCAGAGAUCUGCCCAAGGAUCUUCCAGGGACCAACAUAAAAAAAGAAGUUUCUCAGGUAUUUCUUUUUUCUUCUUCUCUCUUCUUCCCAUUCGUUGAUUAUUUUUCUAACAAAUGUGUUUGGUGGGCGAGGAAACUGCGGAAAGCAACAGUAAACAGUUUAAUUUCAGCAAUCCGCUCAGGAAACGACGUCGUUUUAAAUUUCUCCGUUUCUCUGAACGGUGUCGUUUCGGAUUUUCUCCGUUUUGGGUGUUCAUGGUUUUUUUGGGCUGGGAGAGAUUUUUUGUGUGAAUUUGAGCUGUUUAGUUCAUUCAAAUCCUUCAUUUUGGCUGUUGGAAUUCAUUUUUAUUUCAUGGUUCAGCUUAUUGGGAAGACUCCUCUGGUUUUUCUGAACAAAGUCACAGAAGGGUGUGGAGCUUAUGUAGCUGUCAAGCAAGAGAUGAUGCAACCCACUGCUAGCAUCAAAGACAGGUACCCUGAAAUUCACUGCAGAUAGUGCUUUUACAGAUAGUCCUUAUAUAUUUGAUUUGUAUUUGUUUGUUUCUACUCUUUAGGCCAGCACUAGCCAUGAUGACAGACGCAGAAAACAAACAUUUGAUCACUCCGGGGAAGGUUAGAUUUCUGGUUUUUUUUUUUUUGGUAUCAUAUUGGCUAGAGUUUUUGGGAUUUGUCUGAUUCCUGAUGGGUGUUUAUUAGACUGUGCUGAUUGAGCCCACAUCGGGAAAUAUGGGGAUUAGCAUGGCGUUUAUGGCAGCCAUGAAAGGGUACAAGAUGGUUCUGACCAUGCCUUCCUACACAAGCUUGGAGAGGAGAGUGACCAUGAGAGCAUUUGGGGCUGAUUUGAUUCUCACCGAUCCCACCAAGGGGAUGGGAGGAACAGUCAAAAAGGCUUAUGAGCUUUUGGAAUCCACCCCAGAUGCUUUCAUGCUUCAACAAUUUUCAAAUCCUGCCAAUACCCAGGUACCUAUUCACCAUCCCCAUGAUUUUUUUCCCUUCAUAACCACUUUUUAUAGAUUUUUUCAGAGCUGUGUUUGUCCCAAAUGUUCUGAAUUUUCCUGUACUAGUUGUUUACCUGGAUUUUGCUAAACAUGAUAUGAGAUAUUCAAAGUAGAUUGCUGUCAUCCUAUGUAUAUGAUCGACCUCAAAAAUGGAAAAACAGGUGCAUUUUGAAACUACAGGUCCAGAGAUAUGGGAGGAUACUAAUGGACAAGUUGACAUUUAUAAUGGGAAUUGGCAGCGGUGGCACUGUCUCUGGGGUCGGACGUUAUCUCAAAUCCCAGAAUCCUAAUGUUAAGGUAAUAAUCUUCUACCUAUUUCAUCUCUGUCAGGGUAUAUUGUAGCUUGAAUUGAAUUGUAGCUAUUCUUUGUUUUUGUUGAUUUUUCUUUUUUUUUUUCUUUUUUUUUUUUGUAAUCUAUUAUGGUAGAUAUAUGGACUUGAGCCAACUGAAAGCAACGUACUGAAUGGUGGUAAGCCAGGUAAUGUCUCAAUUCUAUAAUCUAUCUUGUUGUAUUCUUCUCAGGGAGAUUUUCUGUAUAUGCUCUUUUUGGUUGCUAAGAAUACUAAAGAAUAAAAGAAAAUAUGGAGAGAUGUUUGGGGUUGGAAGAGUUGCAAGAUUCCAACUGUUCUCCUCUUUUCUCCUCUUUUCUUGUGUCAUCUGCUCUACCAAACAGAACAUUGGUGGAAGGAUAUGUUGUUAUGAUCAUAAGUCAUUAUGGUGUUAAUCUUGUGUUAUUGAAAGUUUCGGCUUGAGUUGCAGUCUCUAAUGCUGUUAAUUGGAACAGGUCCUCAUCAUAUUACGGGCAAUGGGGUUGGAUUCAAACCCGAUAUCCUGGACAUGGAUGUAAUGGAAGAAGUUCUCAUGGUAAGCAAUGUUAACUGUAUGAUUGGUAUGACAGUAUGAAUCCGUUUUGGUAAUUUUAUUGCUCUACAGUCAUUCCCAAUUUCACUUGACUGAGUUUCAAACUUCACGAUCCAGGUUUCUAGUGAAGAUGCAGUCAACAUGGCCAGGCAGUUGGCACUGAAGGAAGGGCUCAUGGUAAUAAUUCAAAUGCCGCUCCAAAGUCUCUAAUUCUUCAGUCUUUUAAUUCAUAUGCUUGGACCCUGGUCUGACUUCCCAACUCAUAUAGAGUUCUUCUUUACAAUAAGCUAUGAUUGUAAUGAAACACUCUAAUUUUGGACUCUAUGUAGGGAUUUGCAAUUGGGCUUAAAAGAAAAUGACUCAAAGAUUGGUUUUCAUUGAUCAUUUGUCUAACUUCUGGCUCAUGCAGGUGGGGAUAUCAUCAGGAGCUAAUACAGUUGCAGCGCUAAGGCUAGCAAGAAUGCCAGAGAACAGAGGCAAACUGAUAGUGGUAUGAACACCUUGUAUAAUUUUCUUCUACAAACACCAUCAUCCAAAGUAUCAUUCAUUGCUGAAAGCUGUUGUUGGCUUGAAUUUUUCAGACUGUUCAUCCAAGUUUUGGGGAGCGGUACUUGUCAUCUGUCCUGUUUCAAGAACUGAGGAAAGAAGCUGAAAACAUGCAACCUGUUUCUGUUGAUUGAUGCUUCUAUAUACCCUCCUACCUAUUGCUUAUGGAGUAUUAUUACCAGUGAUUUUGCCACGUGAAGUCUAUCGAUGAAUCAUUCUACUAUCCUGCAGAUGUGUAUACUGUCUGUAUCAAUGUACUGAACUCUCUUGGAAUAAAAAAGAGAUGAUAUUCUGAAUAUUUGUUGUGAGACCCUUGUUCUUGAUUUCCAUUCCUAACACUGAAAACAAGCAACUUUUCAAUAGUUUUUUGUAAGGAAAAAUAAAAAGAGACCCUUGAAACAUGAGUAAUUAAGGAGAUAUUUAAUUAGGAGUGACCUUACAAAAUUUAUGAUUGACAUUGGGUGGAGUUUACAUGAAAUUUUUAUUGAAGUUAAUUUCUUAGAAUGCAUUUGAUAGUGUUUCGAUUUAAAGUGUUUUUAAUGAAAAUAUUUUUUCGAGAAGAGUUGUUAAGAGAAUCACUUAUCAAGUGUUUCUUUAAAAACUACUAUAAGUAACUUUCGAAUAUUACAAGUGAUUUUUCAAAUUUUAAAAAGUGUUUUUUAAAGUUUAUUCAACACUUUAGGAGAAUAACCCACCAAAAAUUUCUUUAGGAAGCAUUAUAAGUGAUUUUUCAUAUUUUUAAAGUGUUUGAUAAAUUUUGUCAAAAAUCUUUUUUUUUUUUUAACAAAAUAUUUUUUAGUAUAAAUCGGUUCCUAAAAUCAUUGUGAAAGAAACUUUAAGUUUAAGGUUUAAUAGUGUUACAAGGAUAUGAAAUUUUCUUGAUAUUUCAGAAAAUUUUCAUCCACAUUAAUAACAAGGUUUAAAUACAUUUUCCUCUCUCAACCUUUGGUGUGUUUUACACUUAGCCUAGUCACUUUCAAAACUUAACAUUUACUCCCCAAAUUUGUUAAAAUGCAACAUUUUGUCAUCUAAACUUAUUAAAAAGUCAAUAAAUAAUGUGUUAAAUAAAGAAACAAUGAUAAAAUGCAAAAUAAUAAUAAUAAUAAUAAAAUUAAAAAAAUCCAUUACCCAAAUUGAAAGUUGUCAUAUUUCGUAGUUGCAUAUGAAAAUCACUAAUAGUUCUGUGAACAUUUCUCUAAAAUAAGAAAUCAAAAUUGAUAACUACUACAUUUUGAAACCAAUUGAGAUUUCAUAUAAAUGAAAGUAUUAAAAUAUCAAUAUUUUUUAUAAUUUUAUGAAGGAUUUGUAAUUAGGACCAAAGUCUUAAUAUGUAAUAAUUUUGUAUGAGAAAAAUUCAACUACCUCUGUCUUUAUAUAUACAUUAAUUUUAAAGAAAAUUCAAUUUAAACAAAGCAGUUAAAAUAUAUUACCAAUUGAUCGGGUAAAUUAGCAAAAUUUAUAAUUGUAAAAUUUCUAGAAUUUUUGUUUGAACCUUAGAAAAUUCCAAGUGAAGAAAAAUACAGUUUGUUUCUUUGAAAUUAUAUAUCUUUCAAUUGUUUCAAAUUAAAAUUUGAGGAUAAAAAAGGAAAACAAUAAUAAGAAAGAGAGACAAAGAAACAUACAUGAUAAGUAAUUUUUAAAAAGGUACACAACAUAUUAUUAUUUAUUUAAAGAAUUUAGGAACUAAUAUUAUUUAUUUAAAAACCUGAACAUUCUAAAAAUUUAUUCAAAUGAAGUAUUAUUUUAUUUUUAUAAAAAUAUUGAUUCAAAUCCAUAUGAGCCUUUUAUUUUUACAAAAAUAUCUAUUCAUAUCCAUAUUCCUUUCCAUAUUUCCAUACAAUUGAACCUGUUCAAUCAUUGUUUCCAAGAGAAAAAAAAAAAAUGGAGGAAGAAAGAAAAAUUGAAAACCAAUCUAUAUUGGCACAAUCCAACUAGUACAUAUCAAGAAUUUUGAAUCAUACCAAGAUGCUAAUACAUCAUUAUUCCAUUAUUGUAUGGGAAGUAGAAUUUUAAGGUAGAAAAGUUUGCAUUGAUGAAUGGGCUUAUUGUAUGGGGAGUAGAAUUCACACUAAUGGACUAUUUAGAAAGAAUAUUAGAAAGCAUAGUGCAAGUAUAACUAUACGAUCUUGUGUUGUUCGAUCUCUUAUUCAGUCUCGUUACAAUGACUUAUAUGGGCUUUGUUGGUGUUGAACCAACCAAAGUCAAAUCUGUCUACCUUCAUUGGAGGUAAGAGGACUUCUUCCUUACACAAAGGAUGUUUGGACAGGUUGUUUGAGCACGCCCCUUUGAGACGUCUAAUCCGCCGCUCAAAUGUUAGGUGUCUGGGCCGGCACUCAGACAUCAGGCAUGGUUGAUCACGCAUGCCAGAAAUCCUGAGGAUUAAAUCGGACAGAUUUUCCCGUUUGAGAGUCCAGCAGGCCCAGACUGUUGAUUCUGUCCGGCCUUGUGGAAGGGUGAAAACCUCUCACUUUUGGUGCAAGUCGGAACUUAUCUUGGUCCAAAUGGAAUAAUCUCCGAGUUAUAUGUUUGUCCUAAUUAACUAAGGGGUCUUGAACUUGAGAAGGACACAUGGAGGAAACCCGCAUAGGCUUAUUAAUAAAAUUGACCUAUAUUGCAAUGCCAUUCAUCAUCCAUCUUCACAAAACCGUACGAUUUUAAAAUUGGACACACCAACUUUACCCUUCUAGUUCCCCUAGGGUUCUGUGUUAUCUCCAACUCAGCCUCUCCCAUAAAUUCCUACAUCAGUGACAACCCACAGUACUUUGUUAGAAAUUUAAUCUAUCGAACCAAAAAAAAGGUCGUGCACGGACUUACAAGUCGUUGCCACACACGUAGAUACGGUAUGUCCCUGAGUAAGGACAAGUCAAAUUAAGUCGUCCAUCUCGAGUUUUGGGGCAAAAUAGCCAUUUCCCAAUCUAAGUUUUAACCCAAUUGCAUAACUUAUAUUUAAAGAAUCCCUUUUAUUACCAUCGUGAUAUAAAAUAUAUAUAUAUAUAUAUAUAUAUAUAUUUUAAAUUUGAGUUAAAACCUCAAUUGGCAAUUAAUGUUUCUUUUUUUUUAACUAAACUCUCAAUUGCCAAUUGAGGUUUCAAUUUUUUUUUAAACUUUAAAAUUUAAUUAAAAAUAUAAAAUUAUAAAUUAUUGUUAAAGUUAAAAACAUAUACUUUAAUAAUAAAAAUUUUAUAUAUUUAAACUUAAUGAUCUAAUAUUAUUUUAAUAAAAAUAAAUUGAUAAAUAUAAUAAUAAAUGAAUAUUUUAUUUAUCAAUAAAUUUACGAUUUUAAAAUAAUAAAGUUAUAUGAUAUAUAAAUAAGAUAUAAAAUUAUAUAAUUUAUUAAUUUAAGAUAUUUAAUUUAUUGUAUUUUUUAGAUAUUAAUUUAUUUGUAUUUUAAAAUUUUUAUUUUUAUUGAAAUAAUAGCAUUAUCUUAAAUUUCCAUAUAUAGAUUUUUCAUUAUUUUAGAACAUAUGUUUAUAAUUUUAUGUAAAAAAAUGCCUUGAAGAUACAUUUCAAAAUUAAUAAAUAAAAUUAAUUAGAAAAAAUUUACUACAAAAUGUAACUUUCAAUAAUUUCAUCAAAGUUACAAAAAAUACUUACUAAAUAUUUAUAUAGUGAAAAAAAAAAAACAUCUCUCCCUAAUUAUAAUAGAUAUUACAUGUGAUAUAACUUAAAUUAAUAAAUUAUAUAAUUUUAUAUUUUAAAAAUACAAUAAAUUAUAUUUAUUGAAAUGAUAUUAAAUCUUUUUAAGUUUAAAUUGAUAAAAUUUUUAUUAUUAAAGUAUAUAUUUUUAAUUAAAUUUUAAAGUAAAAAAGAAAAUAAAACGGCUACUUUAAACAUUCAAGUUUUGCAACGGAGUAAAAUUUAUAUUCUUUUACAUGAAGUGACUCCAUCUCCGUAUCUACGCCGGCUCUUCUGACACCUCCAAAUUCAACAUCUAUCUUGUCUAGUUGCUUUCUCAUUUUUUUAACCCUCUCUUUGAUUCUGAUAAGCAUUCUCUGCAUAUUGAUUGAAGACAUAAUGAACAUCUGUAUUACCAUUUGGGCAUCUUAGAAAAUUCACGUAAACUAAAGAAACCCACAAUUUAGUUUUUAUUCUUUUUCAUCAGAUCCAGAAAAAAGGGAUAAACAAGAAACAAAGGAAAUUGCAAUUUGCACAAACCUGAAGUUCAGGCGUCCCGUGGGGCAAAACUGGCAGUGCAGUACCCAUGACUCCUGCAGAACCGCUGUUGAAAGGUGAUAAUGACGACUGCGUAGGGCGUUGAGGCGCCGAGGGCUCAUCUGAAUCGAUAUGUGGCGACAAUUGCGUUGGGCGCUGAGGCGACGGAAAAGGCACAUCUGAAUCGAGUUCUCUGCGCGCCCUUCUGUGUCGUCUCGGUGGGCGAGCCAUGCUGGGAAUGUACUGUGAGAAAAAGUAAUCAAAAGAAUUGAAAGAAAGUAAAAAAAAAAAAAAAAAGAACCAAAGAAAAAGAAAGAAAUUGAAAAGAAGAAAAUGCAUAUAUACGAAAAGGAUUUAGAAGAACGUGAUUAAUAUUCCAAAGGAAAAGAAAUGAAAGGGAGAUCAAUCAGAAAUAUCAGAAUACUUCACAUCUCAUUGCAAACAAACAAACAGUGAGAUUAGAUUUGAGAACAAAGAAAGAAAAGAAGAUAAAAGAGAUGGGAAAAGUACCUUAUUGGCGAAGAAUUGGACCAGCAAACACAGUGAGAGAAUGAAAGAGAAACUGAGAAAGAGAGUCUUGAAUUUUCCCGAGAAAGUGAGAGAAUGAAAGACAAAAAUCGAGAGAGAGUUGGUUUGCUUAUAAUCGCAUUGACGAGCAAUGAGUAUAUAUAUAUAUAUAGUUGAUUGAUCAGGUUUAUAUGCAUAACAGAUUCUCGUUAAAUUACCCGCCCAUAGUUGCCAUGCCAUCUGAUUUUCAUUUUAAAAUUUGCUUCUUCUUAAUUGUUAUUUUGGUUGGUUAAAUAUUUAGGCUUAGUUACAUGGACUUUAUUUCAUUGUGAAAGUAUGAAAUAGGAAAGAAAAAUGAUUAAUAAAAAUUAUUGCUUUUAUAUAUUAAUUUCAUUUGUAUGAAAAAAAUAAUUAUAAUUAAUUAAAUUUAUACAAUAUUAAAUUAUUUUUGUAUAAAUUUAUUAUUAGUUAAAUUUAUACAAUGAUAAAAAAUCAAUCCCCUUGUAGACCCCCAUUUUGGAGACAUUUUCUCUUUGAAUUUUUUGCAGAUUAUUUGGCCAGAUGUCACCAUCUUAGGUGGCCACGUGUCAGCUCAGGGAUGGAUGCUAGGGAAUCAGCUGAACUUUUGAGGAACCAAUAGAAAUUUGACACGUGGAGGAACCUUCUAGAAAAAGUGCAAGUAGUUAGUGAGCUGUUGAGAGGUAGUGGAGGCAGAGAGUUGCAGGGUGGUUUUGGCUCAGCCGUUAGAGAUUUUGGGGGAGCGGAUUUUUCUUGGUUUGGGGAUUACAUUUUUUAGAGAGGGUAGGGGACCCCCAGCUGGGAGCUUGAUGCCGUCUGCAUGAAGCGUGCAGCAACAGUGAGGGUAGUGGGGGCAGGCCAUACUGUAUGAUGCAUGAACAGGAGGAGGCAGGUGGUGACUUGCUAAGGAAGGUGAUUCCAAGAAGAAGAAAGGAGGAGGAAUAGGAAGAGAAAGAACGGAAGAGAGGAGAGUUUAGCUUGAGAGGACUAGUGGGAAAGAGGCAUUCCGGGGCUGGUUGCUUGAGAGGAAGGAUAGUUGUCCGAUUUCUUGCCCACCUAGCUGGAGAGAGUUAUUUUGAGGUACGUUUAUUGUGUAUUCUUCGUCAGCUUCUAUUGGUGUGCUUUUCUACUCUGUUUUUACUAAUUCUAGGAUGAUGAUUGUUGAUUGGGAGUGAAUACGUUCAUAUUUUUGCUAAUGGUUUUGUAGUGGUUUAGUUUGCUCUGGUUUUGAUUUCUCCAUGAGAUAUUUUUGUAACCACGUUUUGCCUUUCAUUUGAUACUCAUUUAAUCUUACCCACCAUCAUCUAAGCCUGUUGGUAUGAUAUGAAGCAUAGCUUGUCGGGUUCAUUUUCUUGUAUCUACUCUUUGUGCUCUGUUUUGUUAUCCUCCUCUGCUCUUGAUAUCCGUCCAUGGUACGCAUCCAUUUUCUCAUCCCUGCUUGAAGGAGAUCCUAGAAAAUCUGGAGUAGUUGUCAUGGCAGCAAAGCUCACCUCAUUAGCAUCCCCAUACCCAUUUUCGUUUAUUAUUCAUCGUUUUAUCCAACAUGCCUACGUCCCCAUCCAUCAUUCCACUCCUAUUCCCGUUUAUCUUCAUCAUGCGUAAACCCCCACGCAUCUCAUACCGGGAGGUGAUGUCUCAAGAUGAUGUAGGAAGUUAGCAUUUGAAUUUGUGGAAAGAAGGGCAGAUUUAGUGGUCUCAUGGGAAUAAAAAUUGCCGCAUGGCUCCCUCUUCCUUGGAUACACAGACGACCCCUUGCGACAUGUGGCAUCGCUCAUUCCACCCGGAUAUCUCACAUUUGGAAUUCUUCUCUGUCGACAUUCCACCCGGGUAUCUCACAUCCGGAAUUCUUCUCCGUCGACAUUCCGCCCAGAUAUCUCACACCCGGAAUUCUGUCCGGCCGACGUUCAACCUUCUCCGAAUAUCUCAUAUCCGGAAUUUUGUCCGAUCGACGUUCCACCUUAUCCGGAUAUCUCACAUCCGGAAUUCUGUCUGGCCGACGUUCAACCUUCCCCGGAUAUCUCGCAUUCGGAAUUCUAUCUGGCCGACGUUCCACCUUUUUCUUCAUCCUUAGUGCAUUUUCUUGAGGUUCCCAAGAUCUCAUUUUCAAUAAAUUUUGCCGCCAUUUUCUUCUCGGCAUGUAACUUUAACAACUUCCAUGAUUUUAAAAUGUUUUAAAAUAAGUGUGAAUUUAUUUUCGUAAUUCUUAGUGAUAGAAUUUGCGAAACUGAUUCACCCAAUAGUAAACGGGCUUUGGUGGGGGCCCCACAUAUGUGACUGAUCGAUUGAUUGACUGACUGAUUGACUUGAUUAUCAUACAUAAUUGAUUUAUCCUGUUCUUUGAUAUGUAUGCUAUUGUUUCUUAAUUGAGCACUAACCUUCCUUCUUGAUAGCGCAUGGUGGCUAGCCUACGUACCCACUUUCACUCUGAUCAGUGCCUACGCAUGUUCUGAUUUUCACAUGUGCAUGAUUUAUUCGGGGUAUCCAUUGAUUUACACAUCAAUUUCCACGUCAGCUUCAUUUUAUUAGUAGAGACCCGACUUUAGGGGCUUAGAGGGGUGUUACGGUCUUUACCGUACCUUCCCGAUAAGUAACCUAACCCUCGAAUCCAAUCUGAUUUUUCGUAGACCAACCUUUUCCAAAACAAGGAGUCACAUUUAGGGUUUUUCUUUCUUAUUUUAUUUACCCUUUAAAAAUAAAACAAAAAUAAGUGGCGACUCCAAGUCAAUUUUCUUAAUCAAAUAAAAAUCAUAAUUUUUCAAAUAAAAAUCGAGCUCGCCAUCGAAUGGGAAACGCAUUGAGCCGAAAUACGGGGUCCACACCCCUUAAUCAACAUAUCUUCCUUACCAAAAUGUUAGACCAAUAACUACUUUAUAAACAAUUUAAAAAAAUAAUUUUUUGAAAACUAUUGUUUGAUAUUUUAUAAAAUAAAAGUCUGUUUAAAAACUUAAAAAGUUUUUAAUCUGCUUUUAAUAUUUUAAAAUAUGUUUUAAAAAUAAUUUUUAUGUUUAGAGCUUUAUUAAUCAUUAUAUAUAUUUAUAUAAUUAUUUUUUAAAAUAAUUAAAAAAUAUUCUCUAAAAAUAUCAUAUUUUCUGUUCUUGAAAACAAAAAUAAAAAAAAAUAUUUUUUUUGGCUACUAAAUGUGUUUUUUAAAUUUUAUGUUUUGAAAAAUAAAAAUUUAUUUUUGAAAGCAUUGAUAAGAAAGACGUUAAUGAUUAUUAAAACCAUGUCAAAGAAAAAUAAAUUUUAUAAAUCAAUUUGUUAUAUUUAUUUUUUAUUGGUAAAACAAACACAUAAUAAUAAUAAUAAUAAUAAUAUAAUGAUAAUUCCAAAUAUAUGCCCAAUAAAGUAUUACUUUUAUACAAAUUUUAGAAUAAAAAACAACACAAGAAUUUGGUGUGAUUAUAAUCUACAACUUUUUCUCACAUUACGGGGAUAAAAGACAUGAGAUGAUGACGUGGCAAAAUAUCAGGUAAACCCGUACAAUGAAAUACAUAUAAAUAGGCCUGAAUCUUGAUUUUCAGUUCAAGAAUCUGGACUACUACUUCACUUCCGCACUGCCGCGAUGCCGAAACGACGCCAUUCCUCAGAGCCUCAAGCAUCUCCGUUGGAAGGAAAAUCGGGCCCUCGGAUGGUGAAAAUCCGCAAAACGGGCAACACGGCGCCGUUAUUGUGCUGCUGCUCCUGCAAAACCGGCGUCGCCUGGUUCGAUCACCACAUUCCAUAUGUACGGCGACUGUUUCUCUCUCGUUCUUUCUCAUCUUCGAUCGAUAAUUGAAAUGAACUUGAAAUCGAAAUCGAAUUCGAAAUUCCGGAUCUCAAGGUUUUGUAUUCGUUUUUUGGUUGAAUUCGUAGGAUCUUGAUAAGCAGGACUCCUCCAACAGGUUGGAGAUUCUCUUCACUGACGCGUGAGUUCUUCUUCUGCUCUCUUUUCGAAAUUGUUUUCUUUUCUCUUGGAUAAGAUAAAUGUGGAAAUGGCUUCUUGUUGUUAUACUGAAAUAGUAUUUUUCUCUCUGUUUGGUUGUUCUGAUUUUUGUUUUCUUUUCCUUUUCUUUUUUUUUUUCUUGCAUCCAAAAUUGUUAAUAUUCCUAAUAAUUCUAUUUAGAAAAUAAAUAAUAAAUUAAUUUAUGAUUGACAUUUCAAUAUCUGUAUCCGGAACCCAUCUUCUUUCUCAAUGAGUUGCGUGUAUUGAAAUGAAAAUGGAGAUAAUUUAGAAAUGUUGAAUAAAUGUAUAGGCUUAAUUUAAGGCGAUGCUUAGUUUUAGAAAAAUAAAAAGAAUAAAGAAAAAUAAAAACCUAAUAAUUUUCAUGACUUAGUUUAUAUUUCAGGGAAAACCUAAUCUUCAAAUUUUGCUUUAGUCAUUGAGCAUUUUUGGUUGAGAAAACCUUAAAACAAUGUAGGCAUGUCGUUCACCUAAAGAAUUGCCCAUAUUCUGCAUAUGCAGCUUCAACUUGUACACUGGAGAAGCUGAAAUUCGAUCUUCCAGAAGGCUUGAAGCUGCGAGUAAGGUGGCCGUUGUGGACUUGGCCAACAUCUACUGCGCUGGCUGCAAAAACCAACCACUGGGCUGGCUCAUUGUAAGACUUUCAUAUAUACAUAUAAACUAUCAUCCCCUUCUUCUCAAUUCUCUCUGUAUAUUACUCAUCAUCGAUCCAAAACCAUGAAUUUAGAUCGGAGCUCAAGCACACCACCCCGUCAUCCGUGCCGGGCAGUACAUCCUGCAACUGUAAGUCUCCGAAAACCCGAGUCGUAUAUCAGGAUUUGGGAUAAUUGUUACAGUACAGAUUUUGUUACGGCGCAGAUCGAACCUCCUGCUAUGGAAAGAAAAAGAAUACACAAAAGCCAAGAACAUGCCAUUCAAUAUGCCUUAAAAGACUAAGUUUGGUGUUAAACAGCAAUGAAGGGUACAAUUUUAGAUUCAAACUUGUAUUUUUCUGUUCAUACUCAGUUCUUUUUCACUAGAUAAAUCGUGUUUUGGUAUACAAUGGACUGAGGAAUUUAGAGUCCAAAACGUGGGAAUACAGUUUCAGUUGGUAGUUUUUGUCUGCAGUACUUUUUCUCUGAUUCUCAUGAAUGGAAAUGGUUUGUUUGUUUGUUUGUUUUAAUCACAAUUUAUUGACAAAAAGUUUUUUCAAUAAAUAUGAAGCUGCAGGUUGGAAGAGCAUAUGGUAUUUAUGGUUUUUGAAAUUUCUUAGAUUAAUUUGAUUAAAAAUCCUAAUUAUCAAUUUGAUUUUAUGGAGUUCAAAAAAAAAUAAAAUUAAACCAUUUGGUUGGUUUUGGAAUGAAUUUAUUUUAUUAUUAUUUUAUUUUAUUAAGGGGAUAAUAAGAAUUUGUUUGGAAAAGUUUUUUAAGAAUUAUUGAGAAGCCAAAUAUAAGAAAUAAUUAUUAGUUUAUUUUUCAUGAAAUUAUUGUACGAUUUGAUAUAAAAAUUAAAAAUACUCUGAAUAAAACUAUUUUCUGUGACAAUUUUCAGAUAAAUAUAGAUUCUUUGUUUUCAACCUAAUAAUAAUCAUAACUAUUAUGGAAAUAUCUUAAAUUUGAUUAUGAUAGUUUGGGUUGUAUGAUAUGUAUUUAUUUAUUCCUAUAAUAUGAUAACAAUUUUGUUGGCUUCAUUUUCCAAAAAACAUAGGUAUUUUUAACCUACUAAAUGAAUUUGAUUAAAUUAAAUUAAGAGUUGGUUUGAUAAUGAUUUUAGGAAGCAUUUCUAAUAUUUAUAAUACUUAAAUUUUUUUAUUUUUCAAGUAUUAAAAAGUUUAUAAACGUUUUGUACAAUUACUACGAAAAAUAUUAUAAAUCAAGUUAAUACUAAAUUAAAAAUCGGUUGUAUUUGAUUCUUAGGAAAAACAAUGAUAAAAAAAAUAUACUCAAAAUAAUUUUCUCAUUUUCUUAUCUAUGAAAAAUAUCAAAGUUAAAUAUAUUUAAAAUUAAUUAAAAACUUAUAUAUUUUAAAAAUAUUUAAUCAUUAUAUUGAAAAAUUAAAUUAAGUGAAAUGAGUUUGAAGCAAAAUAUAAAAAUAAUUUAUUGACUUUAAAUUUAUUUUAUAUUUUUUCCUUCUAUUUUUUUUUUUUGUAAUAUUUUCUCUUAAAUUUUUUGGGACCAAACAUAGGUUAAAUGAUUCGUUUUAAAAAGUGAUGGAAUCUCAGUGUAAUUAUUAUAUCUAUUACAAUCAAUUUCAAUUAGAUAAAAAAAGAAAAAGCAAAAUUUGAUCGUCGGAUUACUUGAAAACUAACCUAAUUAAAUCAAACCCCGCCUCAAUAUAAUUGUAUGAUAAUAUUUUGUGUGAAUUUUAAAUGAUCAAACCUCUUUUUCAUUUUUUUUUGUUUUUUAAAUAUACACCUUAGUAAUUAUUAACAUGAAAGAAAAAUUCAACUUGAUUAAUCAUUUAUUAAUUUAAUAUUAAUUUUAAUAUAAGAACUGCUUACUUUUAAUAUCGGGACAUAUUGCACUUUUUUAUUUUAGAUAUUAAAUAUAAUGUGAAUCCAUUCAUAUUCAAUAAAACGUAAUUUUAAAAUUAAUAUGAGAGAUUUCCUAUUUUAAAUCAUUAUAUAGGCGUGAAAAAAAAAUUAUAUGGGAAGGAAUUCAAUAAUUAAAAUUAAAAAAAAAUCUGUUACUAAUUCUAAUAAUUUUUUUUUCUCUUUAUUUCUUUAAGGAGAAAUGUUGAUAUUAUACAAAAUUACUAAAAUACCAUUCCCAAACCCACGUAUCUCAAUCAUCCGUUCAUUGGUGGCUUAUAGUCACCCAACGAUCAUGGGCUGCAUCCAUGCCGUCAAAAAAUGUGAGUUCGAUAACACAUGGCAUAGUUCCACUAGUGGUGACGAAAAACACAUGGCAUAGUUCCACUAGUGGUGACGAAAAACCCAUUGUCGUCUCUCCGGGUGGGUGGACUAAGAGGAAAAGAUCACGAUUGGGUGGCGAGUAAUCUCAAAGGAAAUGGACGAUCUUUACACGUUGGAUUUCAAUGAAAUUCUCUACGAUCGCUGUGGAGAGAGCUCUUUCUCUCUACUAUCAAGGUUUCGCUCUUCUCCAUUUUUGUCACCAUGUUUGGUUCCCGAGAAAAUAAAGGAAAAGCAACGAAGAUAAAAUUAGCCAUUCUGCAAAAUUGUUGAAUUUGUUUCCUUCAUUUUCUUGGUAACCAAACAAAGGUUUUAGGGCUUAACGAAAUAAAUUAUGUUUUUUAUGUUCUCAUUUGUAAAAAAUAUUCAUUUUUCUUAAUUUUAUCAUCAUAAUUGUGGGAUCCCUUAUGCAAGGCCGUCCCAUAGUCCUUCACUUUCUCACGGUCGUUUGGGUGUGCAAGUAUUUUGGAAAAUCACUUUCAACCAUAUAACCCAAUGGCCCUAAGGUUGAGUGACUAAUCCAUCCCCAAGUGGGUUAGAUGGACAAAUCCUACACGGAUACAACAAGACUGGUGUCUGACUGUCCUCCAUGCAUUUAUACACCCAUUAAUGUGCAAAUUGCGUGUCAUACAUGCUCCAUAUUAAAUACAACAGUUAUUAGACAACAUUCCAUUCUCAAUGGCUCAUCAAGACAAGACAACCAUUAUGUAUCGGUAGUCAAUGCCAUAAUGUUGCACAAUCAAGCGUAGUUAAGAUGCUAUUAAGACACUUGGAAAGGCGUUACGCUACAAUAAGUAUAAAUAACCAUGCAUACUCUACAAAUGGUAAACGUUUUCUUUCUGACAAAUUCCCCUACUUGCUUAAGCCACUUAUUCACCUUAGCAUCAGAGGGGCAUGCUCGGACAAACCAUCUGGACAACCUUUUGUGCAGAUAUUGCAAUCGUCUACAUCUUGAGCGAGCUAGACGAAACCAUUGGUUGUCAUUCAUCUGGCUCUUGGAAGCUAUAUGAAACCAUCCAUUUGGAUCAUGUAACAACAUUGGCACCGUAUGUGGGAACGACACAAAAAACAUACUAGCUGAUGGCCAAUACGUUUAAUACAUCCCAGUCAGCCACUGUGGUUGACCAAUUCGAGGCUUGGCAAGCUAGAAUGGAAAGAAAGCAAGAAGAAAACGAGCAUCAUAUGUAAUCACUACUCUAGUAGGCCAAGUAGCUGAGGUAGGGAAACCAGAAAUUGUGAGCUCAGAUGGUUGAGGGGCGUCGCUCGUAGAGCCGUCACACCCCUCCUCAGCAUACCAACCCUAACAAGAGUCAUAGUCAGACGACACACUCAUCCCGAUGACACAUUGAGUCGUCUCAUCAUGCGCAUGAGGAAGACUUUUCCUCUAGUUACUUUCCUACUUGACCAUAACCAACUUAUCCCUCUACUGACCAAUCUCACCUCGAUGAAGUUGCUAGCUCCAUCAGAGGAAAGCGAAAGAUGAGACAACAACGAGGCGUUUGCCUGUUUGACAUUAUGAGGGCCCGCUUGGGGCCCCAAGACCAACAAAUGCAAACACCACCACACAUAUCUGAUGCCUUGAAGGCCCGACUGGGCCAAUCGAAACAAAAGGUGUCAUCAAGCUUUUAGCCACCGCAGAUGGAGCUGCCAAUAGUGCUCGAGCCCACAGGAAAGGCCCCCCUCGGCUCCAUCAACUGAAGAUUGGAUGAUAUGCUCUCCACGUUGUUUGACCCUCAUAUAAUCAAGUGCGAGCCUCCGAGAGGCUUCUUACUGCCCCAAGUUCACCAUGUACAAUGGGACGAGUGAUCCAUUCGAUCAUUUACUACUCUAUUGACAGUUGAUGACAUUGGACAUUGGAAACGACAUAUUGCUCUACAAAGUCUUCCUCGCCGACUUCCAUGGUUCAACCCUAUCAUGGUUUCACCGACUCCCUCAUAACUCCAUCAAUUCAUUUUGUGAUGUCUUUGAGGUAUUUGUCGGCCACUACUUAUGUUCUGUACCUCAGAAGUAGAAUGUAAACACCUUGUAGAACAUUAAGAUGCAAAAGAACGAAUCGUUGAGAGACUUCAUGAAGCAGUUUAGCCAGACGGUACUCUAGGUUGAGUCUUACAACAUGGAUGUCAUCCUCUAGAUCUUUUAACGGAGCAUAAUGUCACAGGAUGCUUCAAAUGACCCUCCCCAUGGGUUUAUAUAGGAGGAGGGAAGCUUCUAGAGACUCCUGGAGCCAUCUAUACUAAGCCAUUGGUGGGAAGAGUGUGGAAGGUUCUAGAGAUGUCUAGAGAUGUCCACACAUCUCUACACUAUGGUGGAAGGCAUGAGAGAAGUCCAAGGCUUUCUAGAAGAUUUUAAAGAUCUCUUAUAUAUUCUUGUACAUAGGGUUGUACAUAGAUUAGUGUAGGGAGUUCUAGAAUAUUCUUGAUUUGUAAGGAACCCUCCAAGGUUCCAAAGAGUUCCAUUGGUGCCUAUAAAUAGGUGAAGACCUCAUUUGACCAAGGCACCACCCAAAUCACUUCCUAACCAAACAAGUGAGCUUCCAAGCACUUGUAACGGCUUCCUUGAGUAAUAAGAGUUUCCAUUCUUUAAAGAGUUGCCUACUAAGCUUCUUAAGCUUUCGAGUCGUGAGCAUCUUAGUCUAGCAAACUAAGCAUUAAGAGUAAGGCUGACUUAGCAAGAUCAAACGUCUUGACUUACCUAAGUGCCGCACAAGCUUAGUGAAUGACUAAGUCCGUGACAAUAAGCCCAAACACUCCAUUCUUUGAAUCCCUCUCCAAAAAAUUGCUUGCCUUAAUUGACGAUUUGUUCAGGUGGGAUGAUAAAUAUGUUAUGCUUGAAGAUGAUGUUUGAGCAGCUUCCCAGCAUAUUUUGGUUACGAAUUGGCUAGCAAAAAAAAAAUAAAAAUAAAGCUAGAAGCUCAAAGCCCCCGAACAAUCAGUUCAAAUAAGGAGGACAAAAGCAGGAUGGAUGGCAACAACAACCCCUAAGGCUCACCCCGUUGACUAUCUCUUAUGAGCAGCUCAUUAUGCUAAUUCAAGAGUUACCCAAGUUCAAAUGGCCAAAGCCGAUCAAGACUGGUCCAGCCAGGUGAGACAGAAAGCAAUGAUGCUCCUACCAUAAGUAGUAUGGACAUACCACAGAGCAGUGCAAGAAUCUACACUAAUUUAUUUACUGUUUAGAUUUGUUAAUUUGAAUGUUCAGAAUUUCCCUAUCUUCAUCAAUUUUUCUGAUCUAGAAUUAAAUAAACAAACCUUAAUAUAGAUUUAAAUUUUCCAAAAGAAUAUUUAAAAUCUCCAAAACAAUUUAAUGAAUCUAAAAUACUAAUAUAAGAGUUAGAAUCUUAUCUUGAAAAUUUGAUCAUCAAACCCUAAGCUCCCCAAAACUUCAACCCUACAUUCUCCAAUCUCUUUGAUCUUAAAAGGAUUUCUAUACAGUGAAGUUAAGGAGUCUAAUUUAUAUCUAGGUUUUUAAUAUGAAAAAACCUUUCUAUCAUAUUUUAAUUUAUUUAAUAUAUUUCUUUAACUUUAAAUUAUGAUUUUACCCAUAUACUUUAAUUUAGGGCAUUGCAUGAGGUUACUAUCACAAAUGUAUAGAGAUAAGUUAUAUUACCCCUCUAAGCCCAUACACCUACAGUGUCUGAUAAGCCAGUGCCAAGAACUUUGACAUUCACUUAAUUAACCAAUGAAUACAAAAUAAAUGUAUAAGACACAAGAUAAAAGAACAAGCAAUGACAUUAUAAAUGCUAGUAACAAAAAUAUACAAGGACAUGAGAAUUGCAUAAAAUGAUUUAUUAAAUUAAUUAAAUAAUAAUAAUUUGAUUAUUUCUAAAAAAGCUAUAUUUUCAAAAUAUUUUUAAAGAGUUUAUUUACAUUAAAAAAAAUUAAAUCAAGAAAACAUUUCACCUUAUUUAAAGAAAUGAUUUGAUUUAUUUUUAUUAAAAGAAAAAAAGCUUUAACAUAUUUGAUCUACAAAGAAAUUGUUUUUAUAUUAUUUAUUAUUGAAUGAGAGAGGAUAUUUAUAAUUUUAUUUUUAAAAAAAAUAUUUCGGUCCAAUUUAUUGUAAGAAAUUGAUUUUUACAAUUUUUAUUUAAAAAUAUAUUUUUUACAAUUUAUUUUUAAAAAAUAAUUUGUAUAAUUUUAUUUAGAAAAAAAAUUACUUUUACAAUUUUAUUUAUGAAAAGAUUAUUUAACUUCAAGUUUGUUAACCAAAAAAUUACUUAUGAUUUUUAUUUAAAAGAAAAUGGUUCUAACUUAUUAAUUUCUUAGUAAAAAGAAAUGACUGAAUGCAAUUUUACUUCUAGAAAAUUAUACGAUUUUAGUUAUAUUUUCAAGAAAAUGGUUUUUAUUUAUUUUUAUUACAAAAAUAAUUUUACAAUUAUUUAAGAAAAUAUUACACAUCAAUUUAAUUUUUUGUUAAAGAAAUAAUUUCAUUUUUAUUUAAAAUAUAGUUUCAUAUUUUAUUUAAAAAAUAGUUUUGGUUUACAUUGAAAAAAAAUUGAUCUCAUAUUUAAUAAAACAAAUGAUUUCAGAUUUUAUUUUUUUAAAAAAAAAAUCAGUUUAUUAAUGUGUUUUUCAAAAAAAAGAAUUAUUUUCCAUUUAAACAACUAAAAACUAACUAAAAAGCAUCCAUUUAAACUUAUAUUACUCAUGCAUUUUUCCAUUAGCAAGUAAAGUCUAAAACAAAAAUAUUCACAAUAUUCACAUGGGGAUAAAUAAAUAAAUAAAUAUUCAACUUUGAAAAAUUAAAGGGGAUGCAUAUAGAUAUACCUUUAUACAGUGCAGUCCAAUACAAUUCCAACAAGUUAUAGUGUCCAUAGAUGCAUUGAAAAUACACGAAGAAUGAGCCCUCUUAACUACAUAAAAAGUAAACUCUUCUUUUCUCCUUGAACCCCUUCAGGUUGGUUUAAAAAGUAGGUUUUUUUCCUUUUUAUUUUAUUUUAUUUAUUUUUAUUUAUAAAAUGAUGACCUACAUCUUCUUAGAAAAGGGUUUAAUUAUAAUAUAAAAAAUUAUCUAAAAUUCUUUGCACACUACAGAACAAAAUUUCUAUUAAAACAUAACUUUUUAUCCAAUAUAUACAAAUAUGUUUAUAUUAUUCAAUAGUUAACAUACGAUACACCUUUCUUAAAGUUCUUAAUAUAUUUUGCUGGCUAAUUUUUUUCCUACUGUCUACGGUAUAUCUCCUUGUCAAAUUUUAGGGUUUUCACCUAAUGGCAUGCAUUCAUGCCUCUCAUUAUAUCCACACAUGGAUCUUCUCAGGGAUGUUUUUGGGUCUUUCACCCUAAGGUACUUUACCCUGCUUUCUUUAGGAACUUUUACUUGGGGAUCAUUCCGCCUAUUACUUUUCAUAAGGAUCCUCAUUCAUAGUGUCUUAAGUUUUAGUUUUCGAUGUCUUUAGCACUCUUCAUGUUGCUCUUGCUGCAAUUGGUCUUAAGAAAAUAGGGCAUCUCACAAUAGAUAACGUAUAUCAAUCAUGAAUAACAAUUUUCAAUAGUUCAAACAAUAUUAUUUAUGUUCAACUAACUCAUAGAAUUGAAACUAUCUUAAUUAUAAACAACUUCAACAUAUCAACUAUUUCCAUAAUUCAUACAUAAUCCAAAAUUAUCAUUUAUGUAUAUAGUUUCAAUUCAAAGAAUCAUUAAAACAUAAUUUUCAAAGUAGCAACUUCUCUAUCUAUUUAGAAACUUAGUAAUUUUAUGGUUUCUAACUUUUCUCAUUAUUUCCUUUCAAUUGUAACUUCUCGUUUAAAACCACGCUUCUUCUUUUCUUUCUCUUUAAUGCUGAAAUAUUUAUAUUAGAGAGAAAAAUUUAAGCUAAUAGUCGAUUGACUUCAUGAAGUUGCUACUAGAUGUUUAAUUCUAAAAAAAUCUAAGGUGGUGGUUUUUUUUUACUUAAUUCUAAAUAGAACCUUAAUGCUUAAUAAUAUUAAAUAUUAGGUUGUUUGUUUUUGUAGUAUUUUAUUUCUAUUAAUUUUAAAAAGUAAAAAAAAUCAAUAUGUUAUUUUUUCUAUUUAGAAAAAGUUAUAUAUUUUGGAUUUUUCUAUUUAGUAAAAAAUUUAUAAUAAAUCAUAAAAAAGUAAAAAAACAAACAAUCUAAAUUCUAAAACUAAAUUGCUUUUAGUAAAAAGCCAAAAAAACAAACACCACCUAAGUAUCCUAUUAUUUUCUAGUUUUCAACAUCGCUUACAUUCCCUUUUUAAAUGAACCUUGAAGCAACAAAUAGCUUCUACUACAACCUAGAAAAAUAAAGAAGUUAGCUAAAUGUUGAGCCACGUAAAAUUAAGCAAACAGGUGACUAAGUUGCUAGUUUGCAUAACUAUUAGUGUUGCAAAGAAUUUCCACUAUUGUUAACCAUCUUUAAGCUACUUUUUAGCUAAUCUAACAUGUUAAUUAUCCGACUAAUCAUUUUUCUUAAUUGAUAACUAUUCACUAACUGAGCCAUUAAUUCUUAUUAAAAGACCAAACAAACUUAUAUUAGUUUUUAAUAAUCUUAAGGUCAUCACAACUUUGACCCCGCAUUGCUCUUUAAUGCCCUCAUAUGGAAGGGACUCUCCUUGGCCCAGAGCUCUUCAAACCCUUAUUUCCUCUUUAUUAGGCUCAUGUUUGAAAGAAACCUCUACGGUCCAAAGCCCUUUAGGCUCUCGUUGCUUCUUCAAGUCCUCGUUAAAAAGAACUUUGCAUGACCUAGGAACUCUUUAAGCCCUUUCAUUGCCUUUUCAAGCCAGCAUUUGAAAGAUAAGAGAAAUAAGUUGAUGUAAAUGUUAGAUAACAUCAAAGUAUUCAAGCACGUGCACGUUGUGCUCCACCAGCCCAAAAAACAAAAAAAAAAAAAAAAUGUAAAAAAGAAAGAAAACAGGAAAGUGAACAUUAACACAUCAACACAUAUAUCAUUCUUCCCACUCUUGACCGCAUAAGUUUGAGUUAUGUUCUCCGUUUCCUCCAUCAAGGUUUGGAUUGUUGGAAUCUCUGGAUUACUCCAUUUCAAGCCCUAGAUCAUUGAGGUCCAUGUAAAAUUGUUUUAAGGAUUUCUUAAUCUAUACAACAAAAGCAUUCAAAAAUUUAAACCUUAGAUUUAGAUGCUAAAAAAAACAUGCGAUCUAGAUAUUUCCAAAUGAAUUCAUGUCAAUGAAGAUAUGUCGUAUGUGACGUAGAAGUCUCAACCUAAGAGUCUUUCGCUUGAUGGUUGUCUUUUUGGAUCCCAGCAUGCAAGGGGGUGAAAUAAUUACCUAUCCAAUCCUUAAGUUAUAGAUUUUCCUUUUAUGUAAUCAACUAAUAUUUUAUAACCUAUAAAAAACAUUUCAAAUUCCAAUUAAAAAAUUAUUGGGACCACAUAUUUUAUGAUCACAUGUCCUUAGGAUUAUCUAAGAGAACACAUUGUCUCAAACUCAUGAGAUAUCAUGGUAACUAUCUUAAGAAUACCCAUUACCAACUGUUUUAAUCAAUAAUGGUCUAAUCUAUAUGAAAUAUAUGACCAUCUUAGUGUCUCACCCUUAGGUUGAAGUCAUUAAAGACCUUAACACUACCUAAAUAUUCUCUUAAAGUUGAGAGUUCAUGCAAUAUAGCAACUUAAUGAAUCAUGACUACUUAAUAAAUGAUUCACUAUAUAGUUUCUAUCGAAUAUAUAAUCAUAUACACUUAUGCACUCACCAUGGUAAACCUAUCCAAUUGGGAGGUAGUGUAUUGCAACCUCAAAUAGAUUACCUAAGUCCAUGAACCAGUUGUAAACAAUUCAUUAAUCUUGCAAGGAACUUAUAAUUUAGAUCUUAUAUGUAACUCCUAUAUGCUUAAGUCAUGUACAAUAUAAGUGAUACAAGUCCGAAUGCUCAACAUAGAUAAUGUAUAGAUAUAAGUUACAAUGAAUUUCAUUUAUUAUUACAUCAUGUCAUACUUUUAAAGACUUUAUCCUAACAUAUAUCAUUUCAUCAAUAUUUAUACAAUCUGAUAAUUCUUCUAUCAUAAAUCAAAGACCUAUUUCAAAAGCCUAAAAAUCGGUCUUCCAUUUUACUUGGUGCACUCAAACUAUUCAUCCUUCUUAAUGUGAUUGGAAACAAGAAUGAAAAUAUCGAUUUUCAUAAAUAUAUCGAUAGAUAGAUUUUACCAAUAUAUUGGGAUAUAUCAAUGGAAAUUUUGACAAAAAAAUAUUAGUAGGAUGAAUAUAUAAAUAUGUAUAAUUUAAAUAUAUUAUGUAAAUAAUAUAUGGCGAUAAAGAAUAUAAAUUCAAACUCAACAUAGUAGUUAGUGACAUUCAACUCAUACGUGAGAUCCUGGGUUUAACCCUUGGUCAUCUCCUCUUCAAUUGAUUUUUCUUGUUUUUCCCUUAAUGAGACAUCCAACGUUGAAAACUUAUAAAAGAUGAAUGGCUUAUAUACUGACCGUUGCUCCAUACCUCUGUUAUUGGCAAACGAAGCAAGCCGACAUACUUUCUCAACUAGUUUGGGCAUUGAACCCACUUUAAUCAAUAUUUUGAAAAGUCCAAACACUUGGAAAAAAUCGAAAACUUAUAAAAGAUAAAUGGCCAAUAUACUGACCAAUGCUCCAUACCUCCGGUAUUGGCAAACAAAGCGGGCUGGCAUGCCUUCUUAACUGGUUUGGGCUUUGGGUUGAAAAGUUAAAAAAAAGCUUGGAAAAAUCGAAAACUUAUAAAAGAUAAAUGACCAUGCUAUGGUCGGCCCAUAUCAGAGAAUGAUGUAAAAUGACCUUUUCUCCUCGAAAAUGGGAGAGGUAUGGAUUUCAACUACCCCGAUCUCCUUUUUCUUUGAAUGAUUUCUCUUCAAUCUCCCAUUUUUCCCAGAAGAUUAACGAAGCUUUCUAGCCAGUUCUUCCUAUCUGUAAAAGAAGAUGUCGAUUCUAUUGUUUUGGUAUAUAUGUCAUCUCAUUUCUGAUCUGUGCAAUGUAUGAUAAAAUAAAUAAAAUAGAAAAAUGAUCACACGGCUAUAACCCUUGCUCGACUAUCACUCUUCAACAAAUUUAUACGUUUUAUUACACUCUUAUUCUCAACGUAGGUGUACGCAUGUAGUACGGACUGGAACAAACUUCAUAACAGAAGGGCAAAGGAAAACACAAAAAAAAAAUGAUGAGAAAAUAAUAAAUGAAAUGAAGCUACUGAGGUUUAUUUUGUUCAUUCAAUAGAGGGAGCUUCCCGCAGUCAUAAUCUGCGCCACCAACAAGCCUCUUGAAAAUGAACCUAUAGAAUAUCACGUCUCUGAACAACUUCAUCAACCAUCCAUCUCCACCUAACUGCGCCCACCCUGAUAUAUAUGACCCCGUUAUCAGCCCAGUUGUGCGCCACCUCCUUUCCUUCACGUACCCCUCUAUGGCUCCGGCCACCGCUCCCGGCACCAGCCUUCCGUUAUCAAUGAAUGAGUUUCCGAUGUGGCGGCCUAGGACAACUGCGUCCUCCAGGGCUGAGCAGCCACCCUGGCCUAGGUCAGGGGUCAUGGGGUGCAUGGCAUCACCUGCCACGGUCAUCGUCCCUUUGCUUACAUUUCCAAAAAUGAGGUGCCAUGGAAGUCUCAUUAACAGUGGAGCCCAUGUCAAGGUAGAAAGAUCGCAGUGGCGGACCACUUCAGCGUAUGUCGGAGGGAAGUUCUUAGCAAAAUUCUCAAUCACUUGUCUUUGUAUUUGUUCUGGGUCUCUUGCCAUG